rnacentral:lncRNA from 1 species
GAUAAUUAAGCUACAGCGAUCCCAUGCUAAUGGUGCCACGUCACCACGGUUACUGCUGCUAAUGUAUCGUUAGAUCAAAACCGGUCCAAAAUUCAAAUUCCAAGUUUGGUAAAUAAUAUAAGUUUUCAAACAUUAAAAUAAAAAUGUUUGGUUUGUACUAAAUAUUACAUAGAUAAAUAUGGUGUAGUAAACACAUUUUUAUAAAAUGCCUAAAUAAUUUAAAAUGAUUUAAAACAGAAAAGUAAAUAAAUAAAAGAAAAGAAAAUACAAAAGAGAAAAACUAAACUAACAAAAAAAACAAAGAGGAAGCACCCCCAGUGGGCUCCGUCCCAGCUCGCCUGCCCAACUGGGCCAAGGUCCACCCCCCACUCCAUAACCCCACCCACUCCUCCCGUACCCCGAACCCCACCGACACUUCUCCCCUCUCCAAAAUAUCUCCCCCCUCUCCCCCGAUUANNNNNNNNNNNNNNNNNNNNNNNNNNNNNNNNNNNNNNNNNNNNNNNNNNNNNNNNNNNNNNNNNNNNNNNNNNNNNNNNNNNNNNNNNNNNNNNNNNNNNNNNNNNNNNNNNNNNNNNNNNNNNNNNNNNNNNNNNNNNNNNNNNNNNNNNNNNNNNNNNNNNNNNNNNNNNNNNNNNNNNNNNNNNNNNNNNNNNNNNNNNNNNNNNNNNNNNNNNNNNNNNNNNNNNNNNNNNNNNNNNNNNNNNNNNNNNNNNNNNNNNNNNNNNNNNNNNNNNNNNNNNNNNNNNNNNNNNNNNNNNNNNNNNNNNNNNNNNNNNNNNNNNNNNNNNNNNNNNNNNNNNNNNNNNNNNNNNNNNNNNNNNNNNNNNNNNNNNNNNNNNNNNNNNNNNNNNNNNNNNNNNNNNNNNNNNNNNNNNNNNNNNNNNNNNNNNNNNNNNNNNNNNNNNNNNNNNNNNNNNNNNNNNNNNNNNNNNNNNNNNNNNNNNNNNNNNNNNNNNNNNNNNNNNNNNNNNNNNNNNNNNNNNNNNNNNNNNNNNNNNNNNNNNNNNNNNNNNNNNNNNNNNNNNNNNNNNNNNNNNNNNNNNNNNNNNNNNNNNNNNNNNNNNNNNNNNNNNNNNNNNNNNNNNNNNNNNNNNNNNNNNNNNNNNNNNNNNNNNNNNNNNNNNNNNNNNNNNNNNNNNNNNNNNNNNNNNNNNNNNNNNNNNNNNNNNNNNNNNNNNNNNNNNNNNNNNNNNNNNNNNNNNNNNNNNNNNNNNNNNNNNNNNNNNNNNNNNNNNNNNNNNNNNNGCCCAUCGGCCGCCCGCACCGUCUGUGGCUCGCGCGUGGCCGCCCCCUGCUUCCCCCUCGACGCGCUCGCCUCCCGCCUCGCUCGUCGUUGUCCCUAGACUCGCCCCGUCCACCGCGGCUCGCCCCCCCAUUGGCCGGCGUUCUGGCUGCCGGCGCCCACGCCGCGGGCUGCGUCCGGGGCCAGCCCCGUUCGGCCUCGGGCACGGGCACCACGCCCGCACCCGUUAUGGCCUCUAUGCCACUGAACAGAAGGGCCCAGCCCUUGGAACGUUUAUAAAAAAGUAAUUAAUAAAUAAUAAUAAUUAAUUAUUUAACUUAAUUAAUUUUGAUUAGUUGAACUAAUAAAUUAACUAAACUUAUUAAACUGUUAGUUAAUUAAUUAAUCAGUCAAUGACAGUGGGGCCCACCCCUAAUUAAUUCUGAUUAGGUCAACUAGAAUUGGAUAAUUAAAAUGUGUCACUGACCAGUGGGACCCACUGGUCAGGUUGACCAGUCAACCCUGUUGACUGCUGACGUCAUGCUGACGUCAGCGUGCACUGUUCUGGAUAAUGUUGAAUUAAAUUAAUUAAAAAAUGCUAUAAUUAAUUUAAAUCUUUUAAAAUCAAUAUAAAAUAAACCCUAGCUCGGAUGGAAAUACUUUCUACAUGAAAGUUGCUCAGAACGACGAGACGAAUCCGGAUACGCAGCCCGUUCGUCCGCCACACAUCCAUAGCAUAGCAAACACGCAACUUUCCCCUCCGAGUCAUCUGUCCGGAAAUGCGAAACACCGGGGAUAUUUUCCCGGAUGUUUCCCCCCUUUGCCGGUAUCACUUAUCCAUGCGUUAGAUCACCCCUGGCACCGCGUAUUACCUCGUUAUGUUUUGUGAUGCUUUGUUUGCUUCGUAUUUAUUGUUUCUUCCCCCUCUUCUCUCCGGUAGACUACGAGACUGACGCCGCUGCUCGUGCCCGAUCGAUUACGUUGUUUUACGACCCCACCUUCUCGGCUGAGCUUCUAGGCAAGUCCCCCCCUUGAUCACCAGAUAUCGCCUAUUCUUCUCUCUACUGUUUGCAAUAGAGUAGUGCAGCAUGUUACUGCUUUCGAUUAAUCCUAUUCUGUUGCAUAGCCUGUCAUUGUUGCUACAGUUGUUACCCUUACCUGCAAUCCUAAAUGCUUAGUAUAGGAUGCUAGUAUUCUAUCAGUGGCCCUACACUCUUGUCCGUAUGCCAUGCUAUACUACUGGGCCGUGAUCACUUCGGGAAGUGUUCACGGGCAUAUGCUAUAUACUUUAUACUGUUACAUUACUUAUGAUACUGUUCCAAGAUGGGGGCAGGUGGCUCCAUCCUGGUUGAGGUGGCCCUGGGUUCCCGACGGCCCCCGACCGUUACUUUGUGGCGGAGCCACAGGGCAGGUUGAGACCACCUAGGAGAGAGGUGGGCCUGGCCCUGGUCGUCGUUCGCGGAUACUUAACACGCUUAACAAGAUCUUAGUAUUUGAUCCGAGUCUGGCCACUGGCCUAUACGCACUAACCAGCUACGCGGGAACAGUUAUGGGCACUCGGCGUCGUGGUAUCAGCCGAAGCCUUCGUGACGUCAGCGACUGAGUAGCGCGCGCCGGAUUGGAACGUAAGCCUGCUCUUGUAUUAAGGGGGCUAGUUCUGCUUCCGGCCGCGUUCGCAAUGUGCAGGUGUGCAAUGGGCGAUGGGCCCAGACCCCUGCGCCAUAGGAUUUAGACCGGCGUGCUGACCUCUCUGUUGUGCCUAGGUGGGGCUGCGACGUGUUGAUCUUUCGAGGCCGGGCAUGACCCAGGAAAGUGUGUUUGGCCAAAUGGGAUCGAGCGUGUUGGGUUAUGUGGUGCACCCCUGCAGGGAAGUUUAUCUAUUCAAAUAGUCGUGAUCUUCGGUAACAGGACGACUUGGAGUUGUACCUUGACCUUAUGACAACUAGAACAGGAUACUUAAUAAAACACACCCUUCCAAGUGCCAGAUAUAACCCGGUGAUCGCUCUCUACCAGGCGACGAGGAGGGGAUCGCCGGGUAGGUUUAUGCUAUGCGAUGCUACUUGGUGAACUUACCAUCUACUCUAUUCUACAUGCUGCAAGAUGGAGGUGGCCUGAAGAGUAGUCUUCGACAGGAUUAGCUAUCCGCCUCUUAUUCUGGCAUUCUGCAGUUCAGUCCACCGAUAUGGCCCUUUACACAUAUACCCAUGCAUAUGUAGUGUAGCUCCUUGCUUGCGAGUACUUUGGAUGAGUACUCACGGUUGCUUUUCUCCCUCUUUUCCCCCUUUCCCUUCUACCUGGUUGUCGCAACCAGAUGCCGGAGCCCAGGAGCCAGACGCCACCGUCGACGACGACUCCUACUACACUGGAGGUGCCUACUACUACGUGCAGGCCGCUGACGACGACCAGGAGUAGUUUAGGAGGAUCCCAGGCAGGAGGCCUGCCCCUCUUUCGAUCUGUAUCCCAGUUUGUGCUAGCCUUCUUAAGGAAAACUUGUUUAACUUAUGUCUGUACUCAGAUAUUGUUGCUUCCACUGACUCGUCUAUGAUCGAGCACUUGUAUUCGAGCCCUCGAGGCCCCUGGCUUGUAUUAUGAUGCUUGUAUGACUUAUUUAUGUUUUAGAGUUGUGUUGUUAUAUCUUCCCGUGAGUCCCUGAUCUUGAUCGUACACGUUUCCGUGCAUGAUUAGUGUACGAUAGAAUUGGGGGCGUCACAAUACGUCUCCAUUGUAUCUACUUUUCCUAACGCUUUUUUUGGACUCUAAUUUCAAUGAUUUGAAUGAAAUUAACCUGGACUGACACUGUUUUCUGCAGAACUACCAUGGUGUUCUUUUUUGUGCAGAAAUAAAAGUUCUCGGAUUUGGACGAAACUUUUUGGAUUAUUAUUUUACAAUAAAUAAAAAAUACCAGAACCAAGACACACUAGAGGGGGGGCCUGGCUGCCCAUAAGACACCAGGGAGCGCCACCCCCCUCUGGCGUGCUCUGGUGGGUGUUGGGACCCUCGGGGCUCCGCUGACCCUAAUUCCGGCGCUAUAAAUCCUAUUUUUCAAGAAAAAAUAAGAAAGGAAGUUUCAUUGUGUUUUACGAUACGGAGUCACCGCCACAUCCUGUUCUUCAUCGGGAGGCCAGAUCUAGAGCCCGUUCGGGGCUCCGGAGAGGGGGAUCUUCGGUCUUCGUCAUCACCAACCCUCCUCCAUCACCAAUUCCGUGAUGCUCCCCACCGGGCGUGAGUAAUUCCUUCAUAGGCUCGCUGGUCGGUGAGGAGUUGGAUGAGAUUCAUCAUGUAAUCGAGUUAGUUUUGUUAGGGCUUGAUCCCUAGUAUCCAGUAUGUUCUGAGAUUGAUGUUUCUAUGACUUUGCUAUGCUUAAUGCUUGUCACUAGGGCCCGAGCGCCAUGAUUUCAGAUCUAUGUUCUAGCACUGGUGCGCGUCGGUGCUAUAUAAACCGUUUUUAACCCCUUUCCACGAUGGCAUUUGGAACCGUCGCCAAGUGAGUGUGGGCGAUAGGGGGGUCCUUCCCACACGAGCCAGAAACCGUCGGGGAUAGGGCCCCUACAGUACUCCUACUCGUUUCUGCUCGCAUUGCCAUCGCUGUCCAUAUUCUGUGGUACUACGUUUACGAUGCGCGGCCCAUCACAAACGGUUCACUAUUAUAGAACGUGUAUGAUGCGCGGCCCAUCACAAAUGGUUCACUGUUAAGAAGAUUAGCUAAUCGUCGUACGAGUGUCGGACAGGAUUACGAAACGUCGGACCGUCAUAACAUCGUCGUACACGACAACUAUCGCACAUGCUAUUCUGUGGUGCAACAUUUACGAUGCAUACUUCAUCAGAAACAGUUCAUGGUUGCGAAUCGUGUACGAUAAGGCAACUAACACAAGCGUUUAGUUUCCCCGCACCGUUUGUGAUAUUGUCUGACAUCGCACACGCUUUGCAAACGACAACUGUGUGCAUGCUUGCACACGUUUCCUCUCUGUGAACCGCCUCGGAUUAUGGUGCAUAUCGCAAACGUUUGUGUUUUACCAACCGUGUGUGCUGUAACAACCUGGAGAGCGUAAUUUUACCAUAAUUUUAUUGCUACUUUUUCAAAUUGUACCAGAUUUGGAUAUGAAUUUGAAUUUGAAAGUGCGCUACAACUUUAUUCAUAUCCAUCAGGUUCAAACAACCAAUGCAUUAUUCGAUUCAUAGGUACAUAUGUUCAAGAAUUACAUAAGAACCAAAUAAAGAAUGAUGAACCACAGUUGUAUACAUGUACUAUUAAAGACGGUAAAGAAAGAGGCAAAAUAUAUUCUGGUUGCUGAACAAGGUGAAGCGGAAUGCCCAUAUUGUGCCCUCCUCCAUGCAGAAGGCACGCACGACUCUAGUCCAACCCCUUGUGAUGGCCGACCACCCAUACUUCACGGUCUUCAUGAAAACAUCUAGAUAAUCAUCGUGUUCUGGUAGAAAUACUUUAGCCUUUGCAUGCCCACCAAUCAUGUAGUUUGAGAGGUAAUCUUGAGUAAAGUGCUUUGGCAACCACUGCAAAGGAAAAAGAUUCCGACAUUCUCAUCUAACACAACUCAUUAUAGGCAGUAGAAAGAAGGCUGCAGAGUUAUUACUUACCAUCCUGCAGUUUGUUGUUGUCUUGGAUAAAGUGUAAACAAAUAGUUUAAUUGCCAUCUUUGGACCCAUUUUACUAACAAUCUUUAUCAGCUUCCUCACUUGAUGCUGGUUCAUCGGUAUCUCAUUGCCCCAUACGCAGAAAGUGUCAAAGCGCGGAUCUUUACCAAUGACAUAUGUACCUAAAAGCACCAAGUUAAUAUUAGAAGCUAAACAACAAUUGCACAAUGAUGUAGUACAACACUCUUUUAUAAUAUGUCUAUAUACAUCCGUAUGUGGCAGUCCAUUUGAAAUCUCUAAAAAGACAAAUAUUUGGGAACGGAGGGAGUAUCUUAUAACAUCCAAUAUACUCACAUAUUAGAUGAAUUAACAUCUUAUAUUAUGGGCGGAAGGAGUUUAGUGCAUUCUUACAAAUUAUCGGCUGAUUAACUGUUGCUGUACCCAUGGGUUACAGUUAGUUUGAGCUAGUUCGGGCUCAAAUAGCCCUAAAGUAUAUCUAAACAUGAGGGCUAGUUUGAGCUAGUUGCAUCUAUAACCCACCCAAAAAACUAUCCAACCCAAGAGGUGCUAAUUGGAGCUAGUUCUCCUAGUGCAUUUAUUGUUAAUCUAACCCUGCCAUCCAAACAACUCUUUGGAUGGAGUUAGUUCAGGGUUAGUCAUGGUCUAGAAACUAACUCUAACCUCUAGCUAAGUUGAGUAUCCAAACAGGGUUGUGUUGUUGUUGCUACAGCUCCUCUUCUACGUAUAUCUAGACAUCAUUAGAACAUUAAUGUAACACUCUUCCUUGUUGCUAUGUAGCCUAGGAUUGCAUAUUUAGACAUUAAGUACAGUGCAUGUUGCUAUGUAGCCUCAGAUAUAUUACAUAUGGCCCUAGUUAACCUAACGAUAAAUGGAUUGCAGAUAUAUUCAGUUAAAAGUCCGAUUCACCGAUUAGUCCCUUAUCAGUCGCCGGCCUAUAUGGUAACACCUACCGAUAUCCUGAAUAGUGAGCAGAUAUAAGCCAUGGGAUGAAACUAACCUCGAUGGAAAACAGCAGUCGUUCCCAAAAUUGUCCUGUGUAGGUACAUCGAGAAGCAUGUUAAGCACAACAGGCUAAACAUCAACCAAAAUUAUCCAUGGCAGACAAAAUAAUCUCCAAAGAUAGCUUCAGUGUGCAGGUUUAAGCACGCUAGUAAAGCAAAACAAGUGGAAAGGUGUGCUAACUGCAACAUGCCUAACAUUUAACAACAAGCAAACAUAGUCACUCAAACUGGUAUUGUGCCGGUCUAAGUACACUGGUUAUUGUUAAAUAAAAAUGGAAAGGCGCGUUAACUACAAGAUGCAGCAACCAAAUGUAGUCAUUCAUAGUGGUAUUGUUGAAACUGGUACUGAUGAAAUUGAACUGCACAGUUCGUACUUGCACAUAUAGAACAUCACAUUGUGAAUAACUGGAAUAAACAAGGCAUACUACGAACAACCAAAGAUAGCAUUUGAAACUAGACAUAUGCUAACUACAAACAACCAAACAAUCAAAAAACUUUAAAAGAGACAUAUGCCAGCUAUUACAGGCUUAACAACAAGCAAAUAUAUGCAUUCAUAUCGGUAUGUUUAAAACUGGAUUGAUGAAAUGUACUGCACAGUAAAUAAUUGCGCAUAUAGAGCAUCACAUUGUGAACAACUGAAAUAAACAAGGCAUACUGCAAACAACCAGAUAUAGCAAUUAAAACUGGACAUAUUCUCACUACACUACAAAAGGGACUUGACAAAACAAAUCAUGGGUUUCCCCCUGAAGAGGCACGGCAAAACAAAUCAUGGGUUUCCUCACUUGUCACAGAUGGGCUCAUUCCCAUGGGAAGAGCACGGACUCUGGAUGCGCUCCAUGUUGUCGCAGAGGGGCUCCUUCCCCUUGGAAGAGCACGUCUGUAGGGUGCCCUCCCUGAUGUUGCAGACGGGCGCUUUCCCCUUGGAAGAGCAUAUGGGCUCUUUUCCCUUGGAAGAACCGGAGAGGGUGCCCUCCUUGUGGUCGCCGUCGAUGAGGUCUGACUUGGAAUCUAUGGAUCCCAAGCCAGCGUCGCAGAACGUGUCCUUCAGAAAUGACAAAAGGGGCUCGAUGGCGAUGUAGAAUGGCAAAUUGUUGACAGCGAGCCAGAGGAGAUCAGCGGCGGGGCCAUGGAUGAGAUCGACGGCGGUUGAACCCGAGGGGUUGGGGAUGGGCCACUUAACCUGUGACAUAGCGGGCCUCGGGCCAUCGCUGUCGAUGACCUCGAUGCCGUAGCCGGCGGCCGAGACAUGCCCGCAUACUCUAGCCCGCUUCUUGAGUGCCUGCCGCCAGUAAUGGUCGUCAGCUUCCUUGGAGACAUCGGGUGAAGAGACCGCUAUACACCUCUUUUGGGCCAGUCGCUCCUCGAGCUCCACAUGAAGCGUAGCCGGGCUUAGGCUGCGACGCUCUGGAGUGGGGGAUGGGGCUGGGGAUCUGUGGGAAAGGGGGCGUUUGGCAGGCGUCAUCUAAGAAACUCAGGGCGGCCUGGGUAUGGAGAUAAGUGGGUAAGCUGCACGGGCAAACCGGCAGAUGUUGACAAUGGAGGCCUUGCGGCGGCGGCGGCGGGGACCUUGCUAGGGUUUCGAGCGAGGGAGGGUGUGUGUGUGUGCGCACACCCGAGGAGGUUUUGGUGUGUGUGUGUGUGUGUGUGUGUGUGUGGAGGGGGGCGCGGGGUGUUUGAGGUAAUGACGCGGGUACUGAAAAUUUUACUACGUGGGAGUCAAACGCGGGAGUGAAAUGCCAGGCUAUUGAAAAUUUUGAUGAUAGUGCAUCACACACGGUCCGAAGAUAACAACCAUGCGUUAUGAAACAGAAAAACCCUUGAGGCGGGCAGAUAUUUUCUAGGGAUGCAAGCGGGAUUGGGAAUAAGAAACAUCGCACACGGUCCGGAGAUAACAACCGUGUGUUAUGAAACAGAAAAACCCUCGAGGCGGGUUGAUAUUUUCUAGGGAUGCAGGCGGGAUUGCGAACAAGCAACAUCGCACACGGUCCGGAGAUAACAACCGUGUGUUAUGAAACAGAAAAACCCUCAAGCCGGGCAGAUAUUUUUGAGAGGGGGAGCCUCGUGGAGCCCAAUGUACUAUGCGGAUGUGUGCGUGACAGGGGCACCGGCGUGGCACACGGUUAGUUUGAGUGAAACGUGUCUGUUGCGUCAUCCGACUUGUCUAAUGUUCAUAAAUUUGGCGUAAAAUGACGUGGGAGAGGGUCAGAACACGAACACACUUGCAUGUGGACCAAAUUUAUGUAUCAAAAGGGUGGUUUGAUUUUCAAAUACCAAAUGCAACUUUGAUGUGGCACCUCUCUCGCAAAGCACACGGUAUUGCUUGCCCCCACCCCCUCGUGUCGGCACGAAGGGAAUCCUAAGCUAUGAAUGCAUGCCCCCUCCCCCCAACCGAUGUUCACCUAGCAAAGUGCGAAGUAGCUAGCAGCCCCCCUCCUCCCUCGUGUAGGCACGAAGGGAAUCCUAAGCUAUGAAUGCAUGCCCCCCAACCGAGGUUCAUUCACCUAGCAAAGUGCGAAGUAGCUAGUAGCCCCCCUCCCUCGUGGCACCACGNNNNNNNNNNNNNNNNNNNNNNNNNNNNNNNNNNNNNNNNNNNNNNNNNNNNNNNNNNNNNNNNNNNNNNNNNNNNNNNNNNNNNNNNNNNNNNNNNNNNNNNNNNNNNNNNNNNNNNNNNNNNNNNNNNNNNNNNNNNNNNNNNNNNNNNNNNNNNNNNNNNNNNNNNNNNNNNNNNNNNNNNNNNNNNNNNNNNNNNNNNNNNNNNNNNNNNNNNNNNNNNNNNNNNNNNNNNNNNNNNNNNNNNNNNNNNNNNNNNNNNNNNNNNNNNNNNNNNNNNNNNNNNNNNNNNNNNNNNNNNNNNNNNNNNNNNNNNNNNNNNNNNNNNNNNNNNNNNNNNNNNNNNNNNNNNNNNNNNNNNNNNNNNNNNNNNNNNNNNNNNNNNNNNNNNNNNNNNNNNNNNNNNNNNNNNNNNNNNNNNNNNNNNNNNNNNNNNNNNNNNNNNAAGUAGCUAGCAGCCCCCCUCCCUCGUGUCGGCAUGAAGGGAAUCCUAAGCUAUGAAUGCAUGCGCCCCCAACUGAGGUUCACCCUAGCAAAGUGCGAAGUAGCUAGCAGCCCCCUCCCUCGUGUCGGUACGAAGGGAAUCCUAAGCUAUGAAUGCAUGCCCCCCAACCGAGGUUCACCUAGCAAAGUGCGAAGUAGCAACCCCCCACACACACACACACACUUUCAGUCGGCGGGCCAGAGAGGCAUAUCUCACCAAGAUGGAUCGUAAAACAGACCAAGAAUAAUCCACCUUGGUCGUACAACCUCUCUCUUGUUGUUUGUCAAAGUGAUGGCCAUCCAUGCAACCCCGGAGAUGGGCUAGCUCGCCAAUAAUCACGCAAGUAGCUAGUCCCCGAAGACAACCACUGCAUGCGUGUGGCCCAAACAUAUGUAUGGAGAGGUGUGUUUUUAGUAACAAUGGAGCAACUUUGAUGUGGCACCGUGAUUUCGAACUAGAAAUCCACACACUGAGUGAGGGUUAGGUUGACGAUGCAUAUGUAUGUUACACCAUACUUCAAGCCAACGAUGGGGAUUCAUGCAUGCAUGCGUGCAUAGUAUAUGCGCUCAAACUUAAGGUUUGAAUCUCACCAUGACCUACACUACGAUAACACGAACCAAAUAAAGAAUCCGCCAUGGUAACCUAUCUUGUUGUUGGUCAAGGUGAUCAUGGAUGUCCACGCGGGCCCUUCUCACCGAUAACCACGUGAGGGAGUGUACCGUUCGAAGGCAACUGCUACCUCUUGAGCACUGCGUUGGUUUUCCCUUGAAGAGGAAAGGGUGAUGUAGUAACGUAGCGUAAGUAUUUCCCUCAGUUUUUGAGAACCAAGGUAUCAAUCCAGUAGGAGACCACGCGCGAGUCCUACGCACCUACACAAACAAAUAAGAACCUCGCAACCAACGCGAUAAAGGGGUUGUCAAUCCCUUCAUGGUCACUUACGAGAGUGAGAACUGAUAGAUAUGAUAAGAUAAUAUUUUUGGUAUUUUUAUGAUAAAGAGUAAAAGUAAAGAUUGCAAAAUAAAAUAAACAGCGCCAGAAAUAGCUAGUUGACGGUAGAUUAAUAUGAUGGAAAAUAGACCCGGGGGCCAUAGGUUUCACUAGUGGCUUCUCUCAAGAGCAUAAGUAUUACGGUGGGUAAACGAAUUACUGUCAAGCAAUUGAUAGAAUUGAGCAUAGUAUGAGAAUAUCUAGGUAUGAUCAAGUAUAUAGGCAUCACGUCCGUGACAAGUAGACCGAAACGAUUCUGCAUCUACUACUAUUACUCCACACAUCGACCGCUAUCCAGCAUGCAUCUAGAGUAUUAAGUUCAUAAGAACAGAGUAAUGCUUUAAGUAAGAUGACAUGAUGUAGAGGGAUAAACUCAUGCAAUAUGAUAUAAACCCCAUCUUUUUAUCCUCGAUGGCAACAAUACAAUACGUGCCUUGCUGCCCCUGCUUGGGAAAGGACACCGCAAGAUUGAACCCAAAGCUAAGCACUUCUCCCAUUGCAGGAAAGAUCAAUCUAGUAGGCCAAACCAAACUGAUAAUUCAAAGAGACUUGCAAAGAUAACCAAUCAUACAUAAAAGAAUUAAGAGGAGAUUCAAAUAUUGUUCAUAGAUAAUCUUGAUCAUAAACCCACAAUUCAUCGGAUCUCGACAAACACACUGCAAAAGAAGAUUACGUCGAAUAGAACUCCAAGAGAAUCGAGGAGAACUUUGCUUUGAGAUCCAAAGAGAGAGAAGAAGCCAUCUAGCUAAUAACAAUGGACCCGAAGGUCUGAGGUAAACUACUCACACAUCAUCGGAGAGGCUAUGGUGUUGAGGUAGAAGCCCUCCGCGAUCAAUGCCCCCUUCGGCGGAGCGCCGAAAAAGGCCCCAAGAUGGGAUCUCACGGGUACAGAAGGUUGCGGCUGUGGAAAUAGGGUUUUUGCUCCGUAUAUGAUGAUUCCAGGGUAUAUGGGUAUAUAUAGGAGGAAUAAGUACGUCGGUGGAGCAACAAGGGGCCCACGAGGGUGGAGGGCGCGCCUGGGGGAGGUGGGCGCGCCCCCCUGCCUCUUGCCUUCCUCGUUGAUUGCUUUACAUAGACUCCAAGUCCUCUGGAUCACGUUUGUUCCGAAAAUCACGUUCCCGAAGGUUUCAUUCCGUUUGGACUCCGUUUGAUAUUAUUUUCCGUCAAAACACUGAAAUAGGCAAAAAAACAGCACUUUGGGUUUGGCCUCCGGUUAAUAGGUUAGUCCCAAAAAUAAUAUAAAAUUGUAUAAUAAAGCCCAUUAAACAUCCAAAACAGAAUAUAAUAUAGCAUGGAACAAUAAAAAAAUAUAGAUACGUUGGAGACGUAUCAAGCAUCGCCAAGCUUAAUUCCUGCUCUUCCUCAAGUAGGUAAAUGAUAAAACAGAAUUUUGGAUGUGGAAUGCUACUUAGCAUAAUUUUCAAUGUAAUUCUCUUAUUUGUGGUAUGAAUAUUUAGAUCCGAAAGAUUCAAGAUAAAAGUUUAAUAUUGACAUAAAAAUAAUAAUACUUCAAGCAUACUAACUAAGCAAUUAUGUCUUCUCAAAAUAACAUGGUCAAAGAAAGUUAUCCCUACAAAAUCAUAAAGUCUGGCUAUGCUCUAUUUUCACCACACAAAAUAUUUAAAUCAUACACAACCCCGAUGACAAGCCAAGCAAUUGUUUCAUACUUUUGGUGUUCUCAGACUUUUUCAAUCUUCACGCAAUACAUGAGCGUGAGCCAUGGAUAUAGCACUAUAUGUGGAAUAGAAUGGUGGUUGUGGAGAAGACAAAAAGGAGAAGAUAGUCUCACAUCAACUAGGCGUAUCAACGGGCUAUGGAGAUGCCCAUUAAUAGAUAUCAAUGUGAGUGAGUAGGGAUUGCCAUGCAAAGGAUGCACUAGAGCUAUAAAUGUAUGAAAGCUCAACAAUGGAAACUAAGUGGGUGUGCAUCCAACUCGCUUGCUCAUGAAGACCUAGGGCAUUUUGAGGAAGCCCGUCAUUGGAAUAUACAAGCCAAGUUCUAUAAUGAAAAAUUCCCACUAGUAUAUGAAAGUGAUAUCAUAGGAGACUCUCUAUCAUGAAGAUCAUGGUGCUACUUUAAAGCAAAAGUGUGGUAAAAGGAUAGUAACAUUGUCCCCUCUCUCUUUUCUCUCUUUUUUAUUUGGGCCCUUUUUUCUUUUUUUAUGGCCUCUUUUUUAUUAUUAUUUUUCGUUCGGAGUCUCAUCCCGACUUGUGGAGGAAUCAUAGUCUCCAUCAUCCUUUCCUCACUGGGACAAUGCUCUAAUAAUGAUGAUCGUCACACUUUUAUUUACUUACAACUCAAGAAUUACAACUCAAUACUUAGAACAAAAUAUGACUCUAUGUGAAUGCCUCCGGCGGUGUACCGGGAUAUGCAAUGAAUCAAGAGUGACAUGUAUGAAAGAAUCAUGAACGGUGGCUUUACCACAAAUACGAUGUCAACUACAUGAUCACGCAAGGCAAUUAUGACAAUGAUGAAGCGUGUCAUAGUAAACGAAACGGUGGUAAGUUCCAUGGCAAUAUAUCUCGGAAUGGCUAUGGAAAUGCCAUGAUAGGUAGGUAUGGUGGCUGUUUUGAGGAAGGUAUAUGGUGGGUGUAUGAUACCGGCGAAAAGUGCGCGGUAUUAGAGAAGUUGGCAAUGGUGGAAGGACGAGAGUGCGUAUAAUCCAUGGACUCAACAUUAGUCAUAAAGAACUCAUAUACUUGUUGCAAAAAUCUACAAGUUAUCAAAGCAAAGUAUUAUGCGCAUGCUCCUAGGGGGAUAGAUUGGUAGGAAAAGACCAUCGCUCGUCCCCGACCGCCACUCAUAACGAGGACAAUCAAUAAAUAAAUCAUGCUCCGACUUCAUCACAUAAUGGUUCACCAUACGUGCAUGCUACGGGAAUCACACACUUUAACACAAGUAUUUCUCAAAUUCAUAAACACUCAACUAGCAUGACUCUAAUAUCACCAUCUUCAUAUCUCAAAACAAUUAUCAAGCAUCAAACUUCUCAUAGUAUUCAACACACUCAUAAGAAAAAAAUUUACUAAUCUUGGAUGCCUAUCAUAUUAGGACCAAUUUUUAUGAUUAAAGCAAAUUACCAUGUUGUUUUGUAGGACUCUCAAAAUAAUAUAAGUGAAGCAUGAGAGAACAAAAAUUUCUAUAAAACAGAUCCACCACCGUGCUCUAAAAGAUAUAAGUGAAGCACGAGAGCAAAAACUAUAUAGCUCAAAAGAUAUAAGUGAAGCACAUAGAGUAUUCUAAUAAAUUCCGAAUCAUGUGUGUCUCUCUCAAAAGGUGUGUACAUCAAGGAUGAUUGUGGUAAACUAAAAAGCAAAGACUCAAAUCAUACUCCAAGCAAAACACAUAUCAUGUGGUGAAUAAAAAUAUAGCUCCAACUAAAGUUACCGAUAGACGAAGACGAAAGAGGGGAUGCCUUCCGGGGCAUCCCCAAGCUUUGACUUUUUGGUGUCCUUAGAUUACCUUGGGGUGCCAUGGGCAUGCCCAAGCUUAGGCUCUUGCCACUCCUUGUUCCAUAAUCCAUCAAAUCUUUACCCAAAACUUGAAAACUUCACAACACAAAACUCAACAGAAAAUCUCGUGAGCUCCGUUAGCGAAAGAAAACAAAACACCACUUCAAGGUACUGUAUUGAACUCAUUAUUUAUUUAUAUUGGUGUUAAACCUACUGUGUUCCAACUUCUCUAUGGUUUAUAAACUAUUUUACUAGCCAUAGAUUUAUAAAAAUAAGAAAACAACACACGAAAAACAGAAUCUGUCAAAAACAGAACAGUCUGUAGUAAUCUGUAACUAACGCAAAUUUCUGGAACUCAGAAAAAUCUACCAAAAUAGUAAGACCUAGACAAUUUGUUUAUUGAUCUACUGCAAUUGGAAUCAGUAUUUUAUCAUGUUCUGGUGAUUUUUAACAAUUGUUUUCGUGAACAGAAAGUUUCUGGAAUUUUCAGCAAGAUCAAAUAACUAUCAUCCAAGAAGAUCCUAUAGGUUUAACUUGGCACAAACACUAAUUAAAACAUAAAAAAAAUAUAACCAGAGGCUAGAUAAAAUAUUUAUUCCUAAACAGAAGCAAAAAGCAAAAAACUAAAAUAAAAUUGGGUUGCCUCCCAACAAGCGCUAUCGUUUAACGCCCCUAGCUAGGCAUAAAAACAAGUAUAGAUCUAGGUAUUGCCAUCUUUGGUAGGCAAUCCUUCAAAUAGACACCUAUAACCCCUAGGAGUUUCUUCCUUUUUUAUUAAUUAUCAAACUCCUAGGCAUAAAAUCAAGAAAAUCAUUUGUAGCAAACGGUUCCUUAAUGAAGCAAAAAGAUUGGGAUGAACACUUAUUGAUUUUAAAUCCGCAGUUUCCUUACUAGAGGAUUCACCCUUAUUUUUAGGAACAUAAACAAGCUUGGCAAUUUUGGUAGGGGGAUUUUGAGUGUUUUUAACGGAAGAAAAAGCGGACCCCAAGUUGGUGAUAAUUCCCUCAAGUUUAUCGAUUCUAGUAGAAUCUUGAUCUAUUCUUUCAUUAACUAUGGGUUCUUUUUCCUUAAAACUUUUCAGAGUAACUCCCACCUUAGAUCCAUAUUGGGUAAUUUGGUUGUGGAUCUUUUUAUCCAAAUUCUCAAUCAACUCUACAGUAGCAACUUUAUUUUCAAUAAUUUCAAGCCUUUGCAUCACAUGUUCCAAAGUUAGCAUAGUUCCAUUAACCAAAAGAGGUGGUGAGCCAAACAAAUCUAUCAUAGCAUUAUAAGAAUCAAAAGUAUGGCUACCCAAGAAAUUCCCUCCGGUAAUGGUAUCAAGAAUAUAUCUGUACCAAGGAGUAGCGCCUAAAUAGAAAUUGCAGAGAAGAACGGAAGUAGAUUGCUUCCUGGUAGAUCUAUUUUGAGCAUUGCAAAUUCUAUACCAAGCGUCUUUUAGAUUUUCUGCCUCCCUUUGCUUAAAAUUAAGAACUUCAUUCUCGGGAGACAACGGAGAAGAUAAGGGACUAGCCAUAACGACAAGGCAAGCAAGAAAAAAGAGAGGGCGAAUAAAACGGCAAGGGUGAAGUGGGGGAGAGGAAAAUGAGAGGCAAAUGGCAAAUAAUGUAGUGCGAGGGACAAGAGUUUGUGAUGCGUACCUGGUAUGUCUUGACUUGUGCGUAGACCUCCCCGGCAACGGCGCCAGAAAUCCUUCUUGCUACCUCUUGAGCACUGCGUUGGUUUUCCCUUGAAGAGGAAAGGGUGAUGCAGUAAAGUAGCAUAAGUAUUUCCCUCAGUUUUUGAGAACCAAGGUAUCAAUCCAGUAGGAGACCACGCGCGAGUCCCACGCACCUACACAAACAAAUAAGAACCUCGCAACCAACGCGAUCAAGGGGUUGUCAAUCCCUUCACGGUCACUUACGAGAGUGAUAUCUGAUAGAUAUGAUAAGAUAAUAUUUUUGGUAUUUUUAUGAUAAAGAGUAAAAGUAAAUAUUGCAAAAUAAAAUAAACGGCGCCAGAAAUAGCUAGUUGACGGUAGAUUAAUAUGAUGGAAAAUAGACCCGGGGGCCAUAGGUUUCACUAGUGGCUUCUCUCAAGAGCAUAAGUAUUACGGUGGGUAAACGAAUUACUGUUGAGCAAUUGAUAGAAUUGAGCAUAGUUAUGAGAAUAUCUAGGUAUGAUCAUGUAUAUAGGCAUCACGUCUGUGACAAGUAGACCGAAACGAUUCUGCAUCUACUACUAUUACUCCACACAUCGACAACUAUCCAGCAUGCAUCUAGAGUAUUAAGUUCAUAAGAACAGAGUAAUGCUUUAAGUAAGAUGACAUGAUGUAGAGGGAUAAACUCAUGCAAUAUGAUAUAAACCCCAUCUUUUUAUCCUCGAUGGCAACAAUACAAUACGUGCCUUGCUGCCCUGCUGUCAUUGGGAAAGGACACCGCAAGAUUGAACCCAAAGCUAAGCACUUGUCCCAUUGCAAGAAAGAUCAAUCUAAUAGGCCAAACCAAACUGAUAAUUCGAAGAGACUUGCAAAGAUAACCAAUCAUACAUAAAAGAAUUCAGAGGAGAUUCAAAUAUUGUUCAUAGAUAAUCUUGAUCAUAAACCCACAAUUCAUCGAAUCUCGACAAACACACCACAAAAGAAGAUUACAUCGAAUAGAUCUCCAAGAGAAUCGAGGAGAACUUUGUAUUGAGAUCCAAAGAGAGAGAAGAAGCCAUCUAGCUAAUAACUAUGGACCCGAAGGUCUGAGGUAAACUACUCACACAUCAUCGGGGAGGCUAUGGUGUUGAUGUAGAAGCCCUCCGUGAUCAAUGCCCCCUCCGGCGGAGCUCCAGAAAAGGCCCCAAGAUGGGAUCUCACGGGUACAGAAGGUUGCGGCAGUGGAAAUAGGGUUUUUGCUCAGUAUAUGAUGUUUCCAGGGUAUAUGGAUAUAUAUAGGAGGAAGAAGUACGUCGGUGGAGCAACGAGGGGCCCACGAGGGUGGAGGUCGCGCCUGGGGGAGGUGGGCGCGCCCCCCUGCCUCGUGCCUUCCUUGUUGAUUGCUUUACAUAUACUCCAAGUCCUCUGGAUCACGUUUGUUCUGAAAAUCAUGUUCCCGAAGGUUUCAUUCCGUUUGGACUCCGUUUGAUAUUCUUUUCCUUCGAAACACUGAAAUAGGCAAAAAACAGCAAUUUGGGUGGGCCUCCGGUUAAUAGGUUAGUCCCAAAAAUAAUAUAAAAGUGUAUAAUAAAGCCCAUUAAACAUGCAAAACAGAAUAUAAUAUAGCAUGGAACAAUAAAAAAUUAUAGAUACGUUGGAGACGUAUUAGCAACCACUACAUGCAUAUGUAUGGAGGUGAUGCGUGCAUGCAUGUUUGAUAUACAACAUUGAUGUGGCGCGUGCGUCAAAAAUCAUACACUAGCUCCCCACAUAGAGCGAGAUCGGUUCAUGAUGUGUCGUUGUACUAGCCACUUCGACUCGAUGGGAGGGAUUCAUGCAUACACAUGCAUGUGUGUGUGCUCAAAUUGUAUCAUGCAUGUCAUCCCAGAGCAAAAAAAAUAAUCCCCUCCUAAGUCAAAUUAACCUCUCUUGUUGUGAGGCAAAAAGUAGUGAUGGACCAAGCAGGCCCAUAGAUGGAAAGCAUCGAUAUUGCUGAUAACCGCUUAAGUGGGUGCGCGAGGACAACCACCACCGCUUUGCAUGUGGGCCAAACAUAUAUAUGUUGAAUACCCAAUUUAAAGAUAAACUGACUUCUUCAAAACAUAUGAAAUAUGAGUUGGAAGUUUAAAAGAAAUCCAAUUUAAAGUCCCCUUGAAAAUUAUUUUCAAUUUGGAGUUAUUUGGUUUUUAUUCAAAUUAUUUUUAUCCAAAAAUAAAAUAUACAGAAAUUAGGGUAAAAUGAUUCCCUACAAUAGAAAAAUGGACAGAAAUAAAUUUGAAAUUAUUUUGGUAUUUUUAAAAUGAUUUUUAUGAGGUUUUAUUGCAGCAGUAGCACUCUUUGCUUUAUUUAAAAUUUUGUAGAUUUUAUUUGACUCUCAAAAAUGUUCAGGUUUUAGGAAAUCUUAUUCUGAAAAUUUUGAUAUGAAAUAUGCCUAUGGAAAAAAUUUAAUUUAUUUUGGUUCUUAUUUUCCGUUUACCCCUUUUCCGUUUUUAUAAAAAAACUGUACGAGCGACCGACUGCUAUCCCUCAGCAGCAUGCGCAACAUAGCCAGCAGGCCGGGCUAUAUUAUUUUUUCUGUUGUCCUUCAAUUUAUUUAUUUUCUGUUCAAGAAAAAUACAGUUUUCUUUUCUAAAGAAAAGGUAAAAAAACUCUGCGCACACGCGCAGGCCGGCCGAAGGCCCAUGCGGCGGCGUUUCUUUUCUUUGUUUUCUUAUCUCUUUCGUCUCCCUUUUUGUCUACGUUUAGUUCCAUAUUGCCUAGCCUUUGACCCCUAAACCUUUUUUCGACCUAUAAAUAUAGACCCAUAGAGGCUGCAAAAAUCAUCCGAUUCGGGUUAAAUCAAUAUUUUGGUUUGACUAGAUUCACUAAAGAAAAAUAUAUUUCUCCUCUCCGGCGGGACUUCUCGAAGUUGUCUUUUCUCUCAGAAGUCGUCUUUUCUCUACCUUAUAAAGGUAUCUCUCUUUGUUUUUUUUAUACUUUCGUACUUUAUUAUUUCUAGACUAGUACGGUAGAAUAAUUAGAUUAUCAAUUAGUCUUUGUAUUUAUACAUGAGACCUAGAAUUCUUUUAGCGUAAUUAUUUUUCUUCCAUAAAAUAGCUUGGCCUUGAUUUUUCAAAUAGCCAAACUUUUUACUCGUUCAUCCAAAUUAGAUGAAACCAGCGUCUAUAGUUUCGUUUUGUUUUCACCUAUCCAGUGAACCUGUCACAUCAACUUUUUUGAAAUUUUCAAAAUUUGAAAUUUGUUCAGAUUCAUAUUCAAACUUCUUUUAAUCAUAACUUGAGUUUCGUAACUCCGAUUUAAUUGAUUCUUUUUGCAAAUUGAAGCUCUUGAUCUAAACUUCCUGAUAAGGCCAAAUUCACUCAAUUUUUGUACUGUUAGAAAUUGUUUUAUGUUGCAAGAGUCAAUUGCUUGUUUUUAAAGUUUUCCGAGUUCUUUUCUCCGAUUCUUUAGCAUGAUUACUUAUGUGUGGAUACUAUCGCUUGCUUACGAUAGAUUGAACGGAGUGUGACGAGUAGAACUAUCAGGAGUUAUGAGUGCGAAUCAUCUUCAUCAACAGUACAAGGCAAGUUCACACUUUGAUCAUACCCUUUAUUAUCCAGUUUUUGUGCAUUAGUUUCAACCCUCAAACAUUGCAUAAGUAGGAUUGAUAACAUGUGGGUAUUGGGAAGUAGUUGAUGAGGUAGGAACCUAUUGUCUUGCAUUCAGACCUUGGGUAUUAUUACGAUGUGCUUAUGCUGCUAUGCUAUGCUCGUAGACAUGGAUUGGUUGUGAGAUUCAUGAAAGAUGAGAGAGUUAUUUAUAUCUAAGGGUUAACUUAAGGUGGCUACUUUAAUACACAUCUGGAUGGAUUGGUUUGGGGCACCCUGGGGAUACCAGUGGAUUGCCCGGACACCUGGGGAAUCCAGUGUUGUCCAAGGAGAUCCCGGGGUAUCCGUGUGAUCAUCCUAUGGUUCGCCACCCAGACUCAAAGGGAUCAUAAAAUUAUUCAUGCUAGAAACUUCUGAGUGCAACCACAUGCCAUUAUGGGCUCUGGCAUAGUUGAGUAUGUUGUGUGACCUCUUUCAGUGGUACACUAGCAGAUGUAGGGGAUGUAGGUGGUACGGUUUACCCAUCGAAAGAUUUAAUGCUUCUGAAAGACUGUGUCUCGGUCAUCCGUUUCUCCAACAUCAUGUAGUGCGAGAAAUUCAACGGAGGAGAUCGAGUCUUGUGGGGAAAAGUGCGCAAACCUCCAAAGAGUGUACAAACUAAUCAUGAUUAGCCGUGUCCCCGGUUAUGGACAUCUUGAGUAUCUGGUACUUGAAUUAUUGGUUUGAUCUCAUCACAUUACUUCAAUAAUUUGUUGGGUUAUUGAUGUUAAUUUGGGAUUGAGAUGGGUUUACCAUUCUCAAUAUUUUCAACAAAGUUUAUAGUUAAAUAAAUUUAUUCCUUAUUGUAGGGAAAAAUUAGCUUUAUGCAAAAUUAAACUUAGAGCCUCCACCAGCCAUAUAUGCAUGUAGUGAUAGCCAUUAUUCAGCAUUGCUCUACAGUGUGAAAUUGCCAGUACAUUCAAUGUACUGACCUACAUGGCUGCAACGUCUCAUGUUGCAGGAAUCUUACGACGAGUAAGUGAUACGUUAGGGUUAUGAUGUCUACACUCAACUUUGCCGUUGGUGUUCAUGGGAAUCCACAACCUUGUUGUUACUUCCGCUAUUUGGAUUGAGGUAAUAGUAUUUACGUUACUUUAUAAAUGUGAUUUACCUCUGUUAUAAAUCCUCGAGUAUUGUGUGUGUCAGCAUACCGAUCCAGGGAUGACACUUAAGAACAGAGAUUUCGAUCCAUUCGGGUCGGGUCGCUACAAGAUGGUAUCAGAGCACAUAUUGACUGUAGGACGUGACCCCUAGAAACUGGCAAGCCCAUAGGAAAGAUUUUCUCUAAAACUUUAUUUUCAAAAAGAUCUUUUACCUCUCUUCUUUUCUGAGCUUUAUCAAAUAUUCCCUUUUAGUUGGAAAAUACCCUUUCCCCCUUUUGACCACAUGAAGAUUUGACUGAUGAGACCACUCCAAGAGGUACAAGAUAUCGGACAACUAAGACCACUUUGGAAUAAAGAGGAUUUUACCGUGCAUCUGAAUAAUUGAAACUGCGACGGUUGAAGCGAAGACUAGGAAAAUUUGAAGGCUCUGAAGAAUUCCCAGAUUGGUAUGACCUACGAAAGCUACCCUUAUGGAACUUGUCAGACUAUUAAAGCUGCCAAUACGUGAGAUCAAGUGUGUCGGAAAAAAGACCGGAACAUGGAGCGUUAAAAAUCAAAGUUUUUGUCAAGAAAACCCCAAGACAGGAGAUAUCAACUAUGGAAUGAUAGCUCAUGACAGAGACAUGGGCAUAAACAUGGAUAUCGAUGAUGUUAUCGCUCGCGUAUGCUAUUGUCACCGUGCGGAGUUAAGUAUGCAUUUCUUUGGAAGGAUUGGAUGACAAAAGGGCUAAUGAAGCACCUAACCAGCAAAAGAUGGAGUUUUAACCCUAGCUGGUGUAUCACCAGUAUCUAAAGUAUUACAUCAAGAAUUUUUCGGAUGGACCUUCUGGAAACCUUAUUCGUCAAGAAAGUACUUUGUGAAUAACUCAGGACCCAGAAGCUGAAAUUAGCCAAGCUGGAGGAGCAAAACCUUGAGAUACCGGAGAUUCGUCAGGAACUGAAGGACAGUAGGACCAUGGUUCAUGCCAAGGAUGUUGAAACCCAGAAGUGUGGAGUGCAACUCCAGAAUAUUAAAGGACGUCACGAGAGACUUCGCGUCAACAGAAAUGACCUGGCAGAAGAACUUGAGAAGGACAAGCACGAUCGGAAGAUGCGAGGACAUGAACAAGACUUGAAGAGUUUGGCGACCUUGAAGAUUUAUUGACCUUUAGAAGACCAAACCCCUGUUAAAUACCUACGUUAGAUGCGACGAUUGUGAGCUGUCAUUUGUUUGAUGUUUUUCCGACAGCCACAAAAUAAAAUAUGUCUCUUCAAAAAACUAUUGUUUGUAUUGUGUGUAUCCCUCUCUAUCUCUCUCAUCUCACCCCAAAACCCAUGGAACCAAUAGAGGAUGAAUGGGGAUGAGCUUAUAUUUUCUGUACCGAUGAGUCAAUUGGAGACGGACCGAUGGAUUCAGAACAUGGAGGAUCACGUGAAGAAUAACACUAUAGUCGGAAAGGAUAUGAGCCAUCAUGCUCUUCAGUGCUUUGAAGAGGUGCUGUUACUUGGUGGAGGAUGUAUCAAACCAUCAAUGGAUGGCAAAGAGUAACCACUUGGAAGGAAUUUAAGUUGACUUUGCUAAAGUCUCGUCUUGUGUCCCCGAAUUUGAAGCCUUAUGGAAAUGAUAUGAAGAAACCUUGUGCAUGCAAGCUCUGUGGAGAAAUAGGACACAACCAUAAGGAACACAAGGAUGAAUGCCCUCAUUGUGAAGAAAGUCAGAAUGCCCCACUAGGCAGGUAACUUGUUUCUUCUGUGAAGGGACUACCCACUCCCCUGCUCAGUGUCACAUUUACCCCAUGGUUGGAAAAACCAUCCAGCAGAAGAAAGAAGCAAUGAUAGGAGCCCUCGUGGAAAUUUUAGAAGAACCUAUGAGGAAGGAAGAGGUGGAGGACACACCCAAAGAAGACCCAUUUAAACCCUGCACCAAGUCAUGCUAUUCAUGUGGAGAAUAAGGACACAUCUCCCAAAAUUGUCUGAAUGGGGAUCUAGUAGAAUUCCCGACAGAGGAAGUAGAGUAUGACCCACAGGGAAUACAAGCCCUAAUUGGCACGGAAAAGUCUAGGAAGAGAAACAGAAUGUAUCCCCAGAACAACCUAAUUUCCACAAAGAAGGACCUGAGUCAUAUCACAUGUUUCAGGUGUAGAGAUUUAGGGCACUACUUCAGCAGUUGCCCAAAAAGGAAGCCGAGGACCCAAGGAGGCUAUGUAAUCAUAAGGAAACCUCGAGACUCGUCAGAUGUAAUAUGUUUUCAUUAUAAUGAAGCAGGGCACUUUCCCAGAGAUUGCCCCAAAGAGAAGGAAGCUUGUGCUAAAUAGUUGAGUUUGCAACAACAAUAUAGUAGUAGUGGGAACAUUUUCUUUUAUAUUGAGGUGUUGAGUUGAGGCAUGUAAUGGAAAGGCAGGAGAUUGUAAUAAUUUGAGAAUCAAUAAAGUUAGCAUCGUUGGUACCGAUUUGGAUUUUAUGAGUUAUUACUCUAUGAAGAAAGAGUUUUGACCAAUUUCGAGGAUAUGAGAAAUAUGGUCUACAGAUGAAUUUGUGCAUUUCAAGGGUGUUAGUACCCUGUGAGGAGACUUGACUCCUAGAACAGAUAAUGAUAUUCCAUGAAGUGGACUAUGGAUAAAGUAAGUACGAGUUUUAUCUCGAUAUGUGGGAUACCCCAAGAGUAUGAAUGGAUGAAGUACUAUUGGAUAUAAAGGAGGUAUAAUGUUGGUAAUAUGGAGCAAUUGUAACUCCAUGAUGAGUCUAAGUAAUCACGUCUUAGUUUGGUGCCAAUAGAAGGAAGGGAGACAGUACAAUUGGUACCAAUAGAAGGAAGGGAGACAGUACAAUUGGAUGGAUUUAAGAAUUCUAGGAAGCUGGAUGUUGGAAUAAUGAUCAGUUGCCCCCGAUGAUGAGUUCAAGGUUUACAAGUGAUGAGAUGGGCCAUAACCCACAGGCCCCAGAACCUGCCAAGAAGCAAGCACACUCUUGCUGAAGGAAAAACCCUGGAAGAAGUUAUGCCUUUAUCGACAAACGAUCUUAUAGGAGUAACGCAAAACCUGAGAGAUGUGAAGAAAUGAUAGAUGUUUGUUUGGUUUGCAGAAUCCGUGGAUUUAUCCGAACUUAGUUCGUUGACAAGUGAAAUUCUACAAUGCUAGUGAGGAAGACCGAGCGUUAGAAUGCGAGAUUCGCUAAACCAUAUACAAGGUAAUGAUUUGGGUGUGGGAUGGAUUGAUCACCAUACCGACUUACUCUUAUUAUUCGCUUUGCUAUACAGGAUGGUAAAACUGAGCGACUUAGCUAUAGUAGAGAGACGACGAUCAAAACCUUGUUUGAACCUUAGAAUGAUAUAAUAAUUUUUUCCCUUGUACAAGGCAGCUGUGCCAAUCGUAGGAUAUACGGUGAGAACGAAACCCAGACCCGUUUUCUGCAGGGACCCGGUCAAAUGUUGAAUGACCGCCAUGAGAUAUCGAUAGUUGUUUAGUAUUGGCACCAGACCUGUCAGCUAAGCGGACCCAGUCUCAGAAGGACCUUACCUAGAUGAAAGGACAAAAGAAUUGAGGAAAAGGUUAUGCCACUACCGGAAGAGCCGAGAGAAGAAAUUUUCCUGAGAAUUUGAGAAGACCGACACUGUCAACAAUAAGGACGUAGUACCUGAGUUGGUGGAACCGUAACCAUGCUUCUAAGGGUGGUAGCACCCCAGACCCCCCUGUGACGAAUGAUGGAUUUUUGAGAGGACCCCAACCCUAACCUAUUUCUUGCUAGCCUCUUCGAAUCUCGAGGACGAGAUUCAUUUUAGGGUGGUAGGUUUGUAACAUCCCAAAAUUCUAAAUUUUGGAAUGUUAUAAUAAAUAAAUAGUUUUGGUUGAUUGCUUGAUUGUGGUGUGGUUGCUUAUAUGAAAUUGAGUGAAAUUUGAAACUUUUUGAAAGUUGAAUGAGAGGGAAUAAAAUGACUUUCCCAAAACUUUCACUUUGCUUUCUAAUCUCCAUGAAUUCAAAUUCUUUUCAUCACAAAACCCUAGAGUGAAGAUAAUAUGACUUCUUCCAUUUUAAUUAAAUGAAAAGGGUUUGGAAAAGAUUUGAAUCCCAUUUGGAACUAUUUCAAAUUUGGAAACUUUAUGCAACUCAAUGAUUUUCAUGAGAGAAGAUAAAAUGACUUCUUCAAAACAUAUGAAAUAUGAGUUGGAAGUUUAAAAGAAAUCCAAUUUAAAGUCCCCUUGAAAAUUAUUUUCAAUUUGGAGUUAUUUGGUUUUUAUUCAAAUUAAUUUUCUCCAAAAAUAAAAUAUACAAAUAUUAGGGUAAAAUGAUUCCCUACAAUAGAAAAAUGGACAGAAAUAAAUUUGAAAUUAUUUUGGUAUUUUUGAAAUUAUUUUUAUGAGGUCUUAUUGCAACGGUAGCACUCUUUGCUUUAUAUAAACUUUUGGGGAUUUUAUUUGACUCUUGAAAAAUGCUCAGGUUGUAGGAAAUCUUUUUCUGAAAAUUUUGAUAUAUAAUAUGCCUAUGGAAUUUUUUUAAUUUAUUUUGCUUCUUAUUUUCUUUUUACCCCUUUUCUGUUUUUAUAAAAUACUGUACGAGCGACCGACUGCUAUCCCUCGCCAGCAUGCGCAACAUAGCCAGCAGGCCGGGCUAUAUUUUUUUUUCGGUUGUCCUUCAAUUUAUUUAUUUUCUGUUCAAGAAAAAUAUAGUUUUCUUUUCUAAAGAAAAGGUAGAAAAAUAGUUCCAAAUUCACUCAAUUUUGGUACUGUUAGAAAUUGUUUUCUGUUGCAAGAGUCAAUUGCUUGUUUUCGAUGUUUUCCGAGUUCUUUUCUCUGAUUCUUUUGCAUGAUUGCUUAUGUGUGGUUACUAUUGCUUGCUUACAAUAGAUUGACCGGAGUAUGACGAGUAGAACUAUCAGGAGUUAUGAGUGCGAAUCAUCUUCAUCAACGGUACAAGGCAAGUUCACACUUUGAUCAUGCCCUUUAUUACCUAGUUUUUGUGCAUUAGUUUCAACCCUCAAACAUUGCAUGAGUAGGAUUGAUAACAUAUGGGUAUUGGGAAGUAGUUGAUGAGGUAGGAACCUAUUGUCUUGCAUUCAAACCACGGGUAUUAUUACGAUAUGCUUAUGCUGCUAUGCUAUGCUCAUAGACGUGGAUUGGUUGUGAGAUUCAUGAAAGAUGCGAGAGUUAUUUAUAUCUAAGGGUUAACUUAAGGUGGCUACUUUAAUACACAUUUGGGUGGAUUGGUUUGGGGCACCUUGGGGAUACAAGUGGAUUGCCCGGAAUCCUGGGGAAUCCACUGUUGUCCAAGAAGAUCCUGGGGUAUCCGUAUGAUCAUCCUAUGGUUCGCCACCCAGGCUCAAAGGGAUCAUAAGAUUAUUCAUGCUAGAAACUUUCGUGUACAAACUAAUCAUGAUUAGCCGUGUCCCCGGUUAUGGACAUCUUGAGUAUCUGGUACUUGAAUUAUAGGUUUGAUCUCAUCACGUUAUUUCAAUAAUUUGUUGGGUUAUUGAUGUUAAUUUGGGAUUGAGAUGGGGUUACCAUUCUCAAUAUUUUCAACAAACAUUAUAGUUAAAUAAAAUUUAUCCCUUUGUUGUAGGAAAAAAUUAGCUUUAUGCAAAAUUAAACUUAGAGCCUCCACCAGCCAUAUAUGCAUGUAGUGAUAGCCAUUAUUCAGCAUUGCUCUGCAGUGUGAAAUUGCCAGUACAUUCAAUGUACUGACCUACAUGGCUGCAACAUCUCAUGUUGCAGGAAUCUUACGACGAGUAAGUGAUACGUUAGGGUUACGAUGUCUACACUCAACUUUGCCGUUGGUGUUGAUGGGAAUCCACAACCUUGUUGUUACUUCCGCUAUUUGGAUUGUGGUAAUAGUAUUUACGUUACUUUAUACAUGUGAUUUACCUCUGUUAUAAAUCCUUGAGUACUGUGUGUGUCAGCAUACCGAUCCAGGGAUGACACUUAAGCACAGAGACUUUGAUCCAUUCGGGUCGGGUCGCUACAUCACCAUAACUGAUAACUUGAGGACACGCCUGGUAUGUUCAAUCUCACCCUAAAUCGGUUGGCAUGGCCUACUUUCCUGACAUAUUCUAAAUAUUGCUACAUUUGGAUAAAAGGUGCCACAUGCACCAUAUACGUCAAAGGGGAUUUCCCCCCUCUUCUUUCUAUAUUAGGCAUUAAUGAUGUAUUGUUCUUUCGAUUACUCUCACAUUUCCAUGACAUCAUGUUUACCCUAUCUGUUUAAUUAUAGAUUUUUGUCCUUCUAUUUCAACUGUUGUAUAGUUCUUUCAAUUUGGGCCCAUAUUUGCAUGUUACCAUAUUUUGUUUAACAAUCCUACCAUUUUCUGCAGCACAUCCCUUGCUAUGCAACAGAUUAUGUAGUGCACAAUUUUUCCCUUUACAUAGAUCAAGGCUCCACGGAUGUCAUACUGCACACAAACCAUGGAUUUACAAUCGUUGCUACUGUAAGACUUGAUGAACGUGGUGACUCCUAUUUUGGCACUGGCUUUUGGAAAGAAAUUUCUAAGUUUUAUGUACUGAAAGCUGGCACUAAAAUUGCACUACACAUAAAAGGGCCUGGUCAUGAGAUAUAUGCUAACUUCCUCGACAAAAUCAUCCAUGCAGACUUUGUUCGAAGUAAGUUUUCUUUUCAACUAUCUGCAUGUUGAGUUACCUAGCAAUGUCAAAUGAAUUGUGUAGUAUUUAAGCAACCAAUUGUUAUUCCCUUUUCUUACUAUAUUCCUACCUAGUACCUUCUAGUUACCAAUACACUUUUCUAUUGCCCUAUUUUAACUAAAUAUUCCCUGUACUCCCAUUUCUAUCAGAAAGCGCCGCUGACAAGGAGGCUCCGGAGGUGGAGAUUAGGGCUGCCAACAAGCAGAGGCGGGGCGAGCUAGAACCGCAAGCGACUCCAGCAGGCCUAGACUUCAACAGCAGCCUCCCCGAUGAUAUGUUGAGAGUCAUCAUCUCCCUCCUCCCAAUCAAAUAUGGCGCACAGACAACCGUCCUUUCCCGGCGGUGGCCCCCCUAUGGAACUCUAGCCCUCUCGACCUCAUCGACACCCACGAGCUCUGCCAUGGCUAUUGUAAAAGCUUGGAUGCAUUCUCCAAGAUCCUCGGCAGUCACCUUGGCCCAACCAAAGGCCUUAGAAUGAGCAAGUUCCAUUACAACGGCAAGGAUCGAGCCAAGCUUGAUGAAUGGUUCUGAUCCCCUGCCCUAGAUCAGCUCGAGGAGCUCACUUUUGAUGAUGGGCAUAUGCGGUAGCUGUCAGUGUCAAAACCGACGGAUCUCAGGUAGGGGGUCCCAAACUGUGCGUCUUAGGAUCGAUGGUAACAAGAGACAGGGACACAAUGUUUACCCAGGUUCGGGCCCUCUCGAUGGAGGUAAUACCCUACUUCCUGCUUGAUUAUCUUGGAUGAAUAUGAGGUUACAAGAGUUGAUCUACCUCGAGAUCGUAAUGGCUAAACCCUAGAAGUCUAGCCUGUAUGAUUAUGAUUCUGAUUGCCUCUACGGACUAAACCCUCCGGUUUAUAUAGACACCGGAGGGACCUAGGUUUAUACAGAGUCGGUUUACAGAGGAAGGAAUCUUCCUAUCCGAACGCCAAGCUUGCCUUCCACGCCAAGGAGAGUCCUAUCCGGACAUGAGUAGAAGUCUUCUAUCUUGUAUCUUCAUGGCCCAUUAGUCCGGCCCACGUCACAUAGCUCGGACGUCCGAGAACCCCUUAAUCCAGGACUCCCUCAGUAGCCCUUGAACCAAGUUUCAAUGACGAUGUGUCCGGCGCGUAGAUUUUCUUCGGCAUUGCAAGGCGGGUUCCUCCUCCGAAUACUUCAAGGUAGUCCUCGAACACAGAAAAUGUGUCCGGCUCUGCAAAACAAGCUCCACACACAGCUGCGAAGAGUAUAAUAUUUAACAAGUCCCAUCUGCUGACAAUUGUUACGGCGAGACGUUAUGUCCCUGGCCUGGUUAUUAUUACGAAUCGUCGUUCGGCCUCUCGCUACACGUUACGAGACGUGGUCUUUAUUGACACAUCAUGUCAAACAGAGAUCGUGCCCCCUUAUCACGGGAUCCUUAUCAUUACGGGCGUGGGUAAACCAACCGUGUUGUUUGCACGAUCCCUAGGGAAGAGGUGAGCUUUAAGGCCCAUAAGGAGGCGUUCGAUAUUCAUCAUCUUUAUAAAGGAGCAUAGACCCGUCUUUUCCCCCCACGCCUUCCUCCUCCCCAGCCUUUCCAACCUCGAGCUCCAACGCCCAGGUCCCGAUUUCUUUCAUUGCCACUUCGCCUUUCAGCUAUGUCCGGAUCCAGCUCCCAAGGCAGGUGGGCGGCCUCCUCAGUCAACAAGGAAGAUAUCGCGAAGCUCCGGGAGGCAAGGUACCUCACCGCGGAAAUCCCCCACAGGUUCCCCGCCCGGGGGCAGGUUAUCCCUACACCAAAAUCCGGCGAGAGGGUUGUAUUCAUCCCUCACUUCCUCCGCGGGCUAGGGUUUGCUCUUCACCCUUUUGUUUGUGGCCUCAUGUUCUAUUAUGGGCUAGAUUUUCACGAUCUAGCUCCAGACUCCUUUCUUCACAUCUCGGCGUUUAUCGUCAUGUGCGAGGCUUUUCUCCGCAUCGCUCCACACUUCGGCCUAUGGCUCAAGACCUUCAAUGUGAAGCAGAAGAUAGUCGAUGGGGAGCAGGCAGAGUGCGGCGGUGCUAUGGUGAGCAAGCUCACCAAUACUAUCUGGCCGAAAGACACCUUAUGAAAACCUCCAACUUAUGGCAGCGGGAGUGGUUCUAUAUCACCGAACCCCGCGGUACCAAAUGGGUGGCCACACCUGCGUUCUGAUCUGGCCCUCCACUGCGACUUGCGUCGUGAAUUAACCAGGGGCUAGACUGGGGAUCAACUGAUGAAGUGCAGACGCUGCAAAGCCGCAUACAGAGCAUUCUCGAAAAGGACACCGGCCUCAUCAACGUGAUACAGGUAAUGCUAGUCCGCCGGAUCCUCCCAUGCCAGCGACGGCCUCUUCGCAUGUGGGAGUUCAAUCCAGAAGGACCGCGGACCCUCCAGCUAUUCUUUGGCACAACGCACAGAGGGAUGUGGAAACUAUUCUUCAAGACUCGAAAGCAGUGGCCGGAUACAACCGAGGACAUCGGCCUUGACUGGAACCAUCCGGAUACCCCGGUAAGCACCCGAUUUCAGAACGCAACUUGGUUUAUUAUCCCGUAGCGAUGUACUAAGAAACCUAUCUUUGACCAGGGCUGGAUAAAGAAGGCGGAACGAAUUAGGUGUUCAGCUCCACUUCCCGAAAGCUCAGCUGAUCCUGUGCUGAUGAGGAUGUUGGCCCCGGCGCCGUAUCAAGUACUGGCGAAAGAGGACAAGAAGAAAAGCAAAAAGGCCGAAUGUGGCCUCCACUCUAAAGGUAUAUUGGACGCUACAUCCGGGGAGACUCAAGCUCCCUCUUCUGAAGAUGAAGGGGAAGAAGAAGGCGAUAUCCCUUCUCCCCUUGGGAGGAAGAGGACUGCCUCCGCAGACUUGGAGGUGGAGGCAUCCAACAAAGGGAAGAUAUCCCUGUCAGAUGGUUCGGGUUCGGAAGCCGAUGUCGUUGCAAAGUACCUCCUUAAGGACAAGCCCUUCGCCGAAUCGUAAGUGAACAAGGUUGCUCUAGACAUAUACUAUUCUUUUCGGGUCGUAGGGAUAUCAUUCAAACUAUAUGUUUGUAGUCCGGCUCGCUGUCUUCCUUCACAACAGUCCUCAUAGGGAGACUUGCCUCUGGAGAUGAUGGAAAGCGAGACGCCUCCACCAGCUUCCUCGCCCCUAAGGGCGGACGAAACCGAGGUGUCGUCCCGGAGGAUCUCCCAUGACCAUCCAACGAUGCGGGGGACAAUGAAGACAGCGCCCGAAGGUGAUACUUCGGUCGUCAAGGGUCCAGGGGGAGCAGCCCCCACGGGGACCAACAAUGAGCGCCCUGAACUAUCCGGUUUACAGCCGAAGAUGACUCUAGGGUCGAGUAAGCAUAUCCCUUGGAAGGGAGUUCGUACUCCUGCAGCAGCCUCCAGGGAUCCGGAGGUGCCGGAUACUAUAAUGGGUAUGGUAGUUGGAAGGAUUCUGUCCGCCAAAAGCGGAUUGAAUGAAGCCUUCACGGGCCUGCUAAGAGGCUUCGAGGUAUGCAAUGUAAUAUUUUAACCACUUCUUACAUGCAGAAUGCACCUGUGUAUAGGUAGUAGCCCCUGAGACUCUGGUCAGCUUCCACAGGGAGGCGAUCAGAGGAUCAAAAAGAUAUGCUCAGGAAGUGACAUAAUUAAUUUGAAAACAGGCUGUUACGUCAAUGGCGACCGUCCAAGCUGCGGAAGUUGCAGAUCUGAAGCAUAAACUUGAGAUAGCCGAAGAGGACAUUACUCUUAUUAACAGGCAGCUUGACGAGGCACAAGGUAUGUUUUGGGACAGCCCACUUAUGCGUGUAUAAUGAUAUGAGCAUGAAGCUGAAAGAUAUACAUUGUGACAUGCAUAAUUGUAGAUGGUGCAGCCGCGGUUGAGACCCUUCGGGCCGAGCUUGCUCGUGCUAAGGAGCAAGCCAGAGUAAGUAAUGCGGCUGCCGAGAAGGCGGCUGCUGAUUUAAAGGCCGAACAGGCCAUUCGGUGCCAGUGCAAGGAGAGAAAUCUACCAUAGAGCGAGAGCUGAAGGAUGCCACUAGCAAAUGCCAAUCACUCGAGGAGGAUAACAAAGCCAAGGCAGACGAACUCGACAACGCCUUACAAGAGGCGAGAGGCACAGUCUGAGUCUAGAUCGGCUCGGGAGGAGAUCCGGCAAGCUGGGGAGAUAGCGGCUGGUAAGCCCUUUCUUUUAUAGACUAAGUUUGGUGACCCGAAGUAUGCUCAGUUUAAUCAAUUGUGGAGUUCUCCAGAUGUGUUCUUGGACCUGCCGAAGAGUGUCUCCGAUGCGGCGCAGUUUUUCCAAGCGCAGGAAGGACACAUUGCUGAGAAGCUUUUCUGGUCACAAUUCAAUGUGCCAAGGCGUCCGUCGUUGCUGAACAAGCAGAUGGCCCAGUGGGCCGAGCUCCACAAGAUGUCCGGAGCUUCCAUGAAGGACGUCGUGGUCCGGCUAUGGCCAGCUUAACCAAUUCCGACCAGUUAUUUCGGCUUGGUGCAGCAACUUGUCGAUGCAGUGCCGCGUAUCGACGCCGUUAAGCGGUGGGUGUGCAUAGAAGGUGCACGGAUGGCCUUCGCCCGUGUCAAGAUGUAUUGGGCAAAGAUGAAGGCCACUGAUGUUGCAGCGAAUGGCCUACCCGGAGGCAAGGACCAUCGCACUCCAGAGCAUUAUUUGGAAGACGUCCUAGAGGGCGCCCGCUUGAUAGAGGGUCAGUGCUCGUUGGAUACUAUGUUCGAUAAAUGUACCGGAAUUGUGAGAACAAUAUUAUGACACAUUUGAGGUUGUGUUAUAUUUAUGCCUGUGGCUGAAAGUUAUUUCCUCCUGUGCGGCCGUUUUUUAUAAUCUGAAAGUUUGCCAGUUGUCGGCUUCACCCCCCUCGCAUAUAAUACGGGGGUGUUUGGGAUAGCACCUGACCACACUUGACCCAGCGUCUUGGUCCGUGAAGGAGGUGUCAGUGCAGCGAACUAGGCAAUCGGACUAUAGGGCUUUAACACUUUCACUCAGCCAUAGGAGUUUGACAGCGGGUCUAUGAUGUAGCCCUGGUAUGUACGCCGUUAUCCGAAUACGGUUGCAUUACACAGGUGACCGGAAAACGGUCCUUCGUGUUAUAUGGAAGAAAUCGCAAAAGAUUUUAAUAGGUCGCCGAGUGGUUGACCAGCUCUCGCCUCAUCAUGACAGUCAUUUUUCGGCUUUCUCUACUGAGGUGUUUAACCAGGUGAACCGGAAACACAACCACAGUAGUUCUCCCUUUACUACCCUAGCCGAUAAGAUGGAACGUAAGGUAGUAAGCACAAGAGCCGGGCAACCCAACUAUUGACCAAAGACAUGAUUCAGAGCUGGUGCAUAUAAUGCCAAACUCGUGACGCCGAAGUAUGUUGUAGAGCUGUUCGGACUAGUUGGGCAACCAAUAUGUUGCCGUAUCGAGCCCUUGGCGAUUAGUGCCGAGGUGUGUGUGAAACAACCGAGGAAGCAGAAUACAGUUCUAUGAGGAAAAGUAAGUACUGAAGACGGAUUAUGUUCACUGGAAUAUGAUUGAUACGUCGAACGCAAUCUUACAUACUAUAACACCCCUACCCAGGUCAUUUUACAUGCCAGGGGUCGAAGGCUGAGGAAAAAGGCUUUAUACAUGCUUUAAAUAGAGUGUUUGGUCUACAAAAAAUCUUUUGGACCUCCUGUCUCACGUCUGCGCUGCCUUUGCCUUAGCAAAGAGCAUUCCUUAAAAGGAGCAAUCCUUGGUUACUUGGACGAAACCGGGCUCCUAAAGAGUCCAUGCAGGUCUGUAGGAUGAACAGGCUUUGAUUCACCUGUGGCAAAAGAUAAGAAAUAGUUAGAGAAAAGAGAAGGAGAGUGUAGGAGGGCGAACCGUAUUGUAGGCCUAUCCGUAUUGUGCCUCCCCCGAUGACCAAGGUAUUUUAAGUGCAUAAAUAUGUAUGCGCGAUACGAACUUCGCGGGCAUAUGCGGCGAACGACGGAGGCGGAACUGCUAAUGCAGCUCUAAAAUUGGCCAGUCCUGUGUAGUAGAAGCCAGUGGCUUAAUGGCCGAUGAGGUGUGCGGUUUGAUGAGGCCGCUUUGUACUCCGGUUGUGAUGGCCGUGGUAUGCUCCUCGGUACGUAGGGAGCGUUCCGUGUUUCCGUUGAUCAUGAUGACGCCGCAUGGACUGGGCAUCUUAAGCUUUAGACAGGCGUAGUGUGGGACCGCAUUGAAACGAGCAAAGGCGGUCCGCCAAAGCAGUGCGUGGUAUCUAUUGCAGAACGGGGCAAUAUCGAUGAUCAAGUCUUUGCUUUGAAAGUUUUGCGGUGAACCGAAGACGACUUCCAAUGUGAUUGAUCCUAUACAGUGAGCUUCUACGCCGGGUAUUACUCCCUUGAAGGUAGUUGUGGUGGGCCUGAUCCUUGAGGGAUCAAUGCCCAUCUUGCUACUAGUGUCCUGAUAAAGUAAAUUAAGGCUACUGCCGCCGUCCAUAAGAACUCGCAUGAGAUGGAAUCCAUCAAUGAUUGGGUCGAGGACCAGAGCUACCGAACCUCUGUGACGGAUACCGGUCGGCUGGUCCUUCCGAUCAAAAGUGAUCGAGCGGGCCUCCCGUGGGUUAAAUUUUGGGGCAACCGGCUUUAUGGCACAGACGUCUCGUAGUGCGUGCUUGCACUCCUUUGUAGGGAUAUGCGUCACGGAUAUCAUGUUUACUGUUUUUACUUCGGGGGGAAAUUGCUUCUGUCCCCCGGUGUUCGUUUGGCGAGUAUCUUCGUCUUCGCUGUCACUAGGCGGCCCCUUCCCUUUGUGUUCGGCAUUGAGCUUGCCAGCCUGUUUGAAAACCCAACAAUUUCUGUUGGUAUGGUUGGCGGGUUUGUCAGGGCUGCCGUGAAUUUGACAGGGCUGAUCCAGUAUCCUGUCUAAACUGGAUGGACCAUCUUUGUUUGCCUUGAAUGGCUUUGUCCGUUGACCAGAUUUGGAGCCACUGAAUCUGGCGUUGACCGCCGUGUCCCGGGUUCCUAUAUGAUUGUUUCGACGCUUGUUUUUAUUGCGCCGUGGCUUGCCAUUGCCGUCCCUGGCUUCGGAGGUGCCAGGAUCGCUGGUGCUAUUGCUUCGUCGAGCUAGCCAGCUAUCUUCUCCCGCGCAAAAGCGGGUCAUCAAUGCAGUAAGAGCUGCCAUGGACUUCGGUUUUUCUUGGCCGAGGUGACGGGCCAGCCACUCAUCUCGGACGCUAUGCUUAAAGGCCGCGAGGGCUUCGGUGUCCGGACAGUCGAGAAUUUGGUUCUUUUUAAUUAAGAACCUAGUCCAGUGUUUCCUUGCUGACUCUCCGGGCUGCUGGAUGAUGUGACUUAGAUCGUCGGCGUCCGGAGGCCAGACAUAUGUACCUUGGAAGUUGUCGCGAAAGGCGUCUUCCACGUCUUCCCAAUUGCCAAUGGAAUUCUCUGGGAGGCUGUUUAGCCAGUGCCGGGCUGGUCCCUUUAAUUUUAGUGGGAGGUAUUUGAUGGCAUGGAGGUCAUCACCGCGGGCCAUGUGGAUAUGGAGAAGGAAAUCCUCAAUCCAUACUGCGGGGUCGGUUGUUCCAUCGUAGGAUUCCAUAUUCAUAGGUUUAAACCCUUCUGGGACUUCAUGCUCCAUUACUUCCUCGAUGAAGCAUAGGGGAUGUGCGGCGCCUCUAUAACGGGCGACAUCGCGACGGAGUUCAGCGAACGUCCCUAUGCGGUUUUCACCCCAAGUGAGGUUGUGUUGAUCAUGGCGUGCCUGAUAGCCAUCCUCUUGUAUUGGGGCACGUCCCCUUGGCCCGUAGAUUGAUCUGGCUAGGCAUGCCCUAGUGUCCAGGUCCUGCCGUAGGUCAUAGGUGUAGCCCAUGGCCGCUGUCUCCCUGCAUUACGCGCUGAUGCUAUGGGCUCCCGUGCCUCGACGUCGAAUUGGGGUAACAACUUGCGCUUCGGGUAGCUUUUGGUUGGUCAUGCGAGGCCGUAUUCCUCGGCUGCCAGGACAUUAGUCCAUCUGUCGUUGAGCGUGUCCUGUUUGGCUUGAAGCCGUUGCUGCUUCCUUUUCAGACUCCUCGCGGUUGCGAUGAGCUGUUGUUUAAAGCGUUCUUGCUCAAGGGAUUCCUCUCGCAUGAUGAAGUCUUCAUCGCCGAGGCUUAUUUCGUCUUUAGAGGGUGGCAUAUAAUUGCUGUCCUCCGAGUCUCCGUUCCCGACUGGCUCGUCAGGGUUACCCUGCCUCUCCUCCCUAUCAUCCUGUUCGGAUGUUGGUUCAACGGGGGCGUCUGGAUCUUCGGCAUUCUCCGGAGUGUUAUCAUCUCCAUUUCCGGUAUUGUUUUCUUUGUUGCGGCGUGAUUUUGAACAGCGCUGCUGAUGCCGCUGCUUUGGAGGUUUAUCAGCGUUAUUGUCCUUGAUUGAAUCUUUACUGCCUUCAUCGCCAUCCUCUUUUGGCGUGUCCACCAUGUAUACGUCGUAUGUGGAGGUAGCCGCCCAGCAUCCGGUGUGCGGUGGUUUUUGGCUUUGUUCGUCUCCAGCAUCGAUGUCCAUGCCAUAGAUGUCUUCGGAGUUACGAUCGAGCAUGUCGGUUAUGUCCUCGACAGUGGCUAUGAAGUGGGUGGUGGGUGGGAAGUAAAUUCCCCACUCUCAGCCCCUAGUCCGGGCUGGGCGUAAUUCGAACGUUGCCCGUCUAUAAUGACGAGGGAUCGUAUUAGGUCCAGAGCCUUACUUAAAGGCGAGGUUUGGCCAGGGAGAAGAGCGUCCAUGGAGUAUGGCGGGAGGGAAAAUCCUUGGCCGAGCUCACACGCUGCUGACUCUGAGGGUUCGGAGCCAAUGUUCGGAGAAGAGUACGGUUUCGUGAUGAUGACCGGUGUCACAGCUUCCUCCGACUCUCCCGUAAUAGGCUCAAUAGCCGCAGAGAGUCCGGCGGGCUCGGGAAUCCUGUCUUCAGGCCUGGUGAUGUGCUCCGGAUCUAAGGCCAGAGCGAAGGUUGGGGUCGCGAACCCUUGGAAGAUUAAGUCUCCUCGGAUAUCAGCGACAUAAUCCAGAUUUCCAAAACUAAUCUGGUGACCUGGGGCGUAGCUGUCGAUCUGUUCUAGAUGGCCAAGCGAGUUGGCCCGCAGUGCAAAGCCGCCGAACACAAGGAUCUGGCCGGCGAGAAAGAUCUCCCCCAGGGCAGCGUUGUUGUAGAUGACAGAUGGAGCCAUCGAACCUUCUGACGAGGACAUAGCGGAACUCGCAAUGAAAGCACCAAUGUCGGUGUCAAAACCAGCGGAUCUCGGGUAGGGGGUCCCGAACUAUGCGUCUUAGGAUCGAUGGUUCCAUUACAAUGGCAAGGGCCGAGCCAAGCUUGACGAAUGGUUCCGAUCCCCCGCCCUAGAUCAGCUCGAGGAGCUCACUUUUGAUGACGGGCAUAUGCGGUAGCUGUCGGUGUCAAAACCGAGCCAAGGACCGAGCCAAGCUUGACGAAUGGUUCUGAUCCCCCGCCCUAGAUCAGCUCGAGGAGCUCACUUUUGAUGAUGGGCAUAUGCGGUAGCUGUCGGUGUAAAAACCGGCGGAUCUCGGGUAGGGGGUCCCAAACUGUGCGUCUUAGGAUCGAUGGUAACAAGAGACAUGGACACAAUGUUUACCCAGGUUCGGGCCCUCUCGAUGGAGGUAAUACCCUACUUCCUGCUUGAUUAUCUUGGAUGAAUAUGAGGUUACAAUAGUUGAUCUACCUCGACAUCGUAAUGGCUAAACCCUAGAAGUCUAGCCUGUAUGAUUAUGAUUCUGAUUGCCUCUACGGACUAAACCCUCCGGUUUAUAUAGACACCGGAGGGACCUAGGUUUAUACAGAGUCGGUUUAUAGAGGAAGGAAUCUUCCUAUCUGAACGCCAAGCUUGCCUUCCACGCCAAGGAGAGUCCUAUCCAGACAUGAGUAGAAGUCUUCUAUCUUGUAUCUUCAUGGCCCAUUAGUCCGGCCCACGUCACAUAGCCCGGACGUCCGAGGACCCCUUAAUCCAGGACUCCCUCAGUAGCUGCCAACGUCCGCACUCCGCCUCGCGCCCACGCUGCACGUCGCCAAGUUCAGGAACUGCCAUUCCCUCCUUAAUGACGCGCCCGCUCUUAUUCUACCACGACUGAAGCACCUCGAGCUCGUCGCCAUCUGCCUCUCAAACGGUGACAUGGAGCGCCUGCUCCGUGGCUAUACUGCACUCGAGUACCUACAUCUUCAGGCGAUCAAUGGGUUGAGUACCUUCCACAUCACCUCCAUGACUCUCCGGACUAUUUAUGUAUGUUGCUUGUGCAGCAAGAAGACAUCACAAGAUGUGUACCACAGUAUGGUCAUUGAGGACACACCUGCACUUGAGAGAUUACUUGUAGUUGAUCAAGAAGGUCCAACAAGAAUCAAUGUCAUUUCUGCACCGAAAUUGACAGUGGUGAGCUACUCGUCUCACAAAUACUCCGAACUUGUUAUUGGAUCCACACCCGUUCAGGUACAACAGCCGCUUUCUACCUCUCCUUCUACAAAUUAACAUUGUUUCUAAUUUUGAAGAUGUUUGUUCGUCUGUCAUUCAGAAAAUGAUUCCGACAAGCUUGACCCCGAAACUGUGCACAGUGAAGGUCUUGGCACUAGAAUCUAUCGGCCCCAACCUGGAGCAAGUUGUCAGUUUCCUAAGAUGCUUUUCGUGCCUGGAGAAGCUAUAUAUCGAGGUGAUCUUCCUUUCCUGUUAAAUGUUAACCAUAAGGGAGUUCAAUUUUUGACACCUUUUUCCAAGUUAACAAUGACAAUGUACUACGAUUUCUGAAGGUUCUUUUGGAGGAUUUCAAUGCAUGCAUGCCCCCCCCCCAUAUUGGUAGCUUGAUCCAUAUGGUUACAAUCAAUAAGCAUUUCUCCUUUGGAUUCAUCUGUACUAGUUUUCUUAGGGAACUUUUCAUCCACUCCAACCUCUUGUGAAGAAGGCUACAUUUUUCUAGAAUGUAAUCAAAUGCCCGUGUUAAUCAUGUCAGAUCGAAGAUGGCAUGUUAGUGCAUUUUACAAAUCCUGCAAACCAAAUAGGCCUGUAGUAAUGUUCAAAACUGCAUGUAGGCACUAACAUGUUUUCUUCUUUUGCAGAUAAGAUUAGGCCCAGUGGUGGAUAAUGUGAUACAAUAUAACAAUCACGUCGAAUGCCUAGAUAUGCAUCUCUCAGAAAUUACUUUGAACUCCUACCGAGGGACCUUACCAGAGAUUAUAUUCGCCGGGUUCUUUGUUCUCAGAGCAAGGGUGCUGAAGGAAAUGAGGUUUGCCCUACAUUUAUUUCGCAAAAAUGAAUGGUUUGUUGAUCAGCGCCGGCGCCUACGGCAGAAUAGAGUAGGCUCCAAAAAUGCUGAAUUUCAUUUUGGAACUUCAGAUGACAGAGUAAUCGGAAGUCAUCGUGUCAACAACAUACAUGACUUUUCAGUGGCUGACCCCUUUGCAAAAAUUGUGAGGUUUCGAAACCAGAGUGAGAAGCGGUGAUAUUAGUUUGAACCUCUCUGAUAUCCAUGUUCAGCGGAUCAGCGCGAGCGUUUGAAGCUGAUGAGCUGAAUUUCAUUUCUAAUAUCAGUUUUAACCUUGUAAUAUUUGAAUUUGAGCCAUAUAACUCUGGAAUUUGAACCUUGUAACAUUUCGAGCUUUUGUGGUACAAUCGUUGAAAUGGCAUCAUAUGAGACUCGUAUAUUGCUAGCACUAUUUUGACCUUAAUAUGCAAUGGUCUUAGAGUUUAUUAACCAUUCUUGAAUCAAUUUACCUUGUCGAUCUCACAACACACGAUUUGUAUAGCUAACUCGACUGCAAUGUUCGACAUUAUUGCACACAGUUGGUUUCUUCCACCGUGUGCACUAUAGAGCGCAGAAUUAAUUAUCGCACUCGAGUGUCCAUCAUCACCCUUCUGUGUAACUUUAACCUCAUCACCCACGGGUAAACUUACACUACUGCAGGAUGCUACUAACGCGACACUACGAUCAGAGACCCUUCGAGAAACUGUGUGCGAUGCCAUAAUCGCAAACGGUGCUGUAUGAAAACCGUCAAAAAAGGUGAAAACGUUUGCGAUGGAGGAUGCAUCAAACACGGUUCAGAUUUUAGUUGCGUGUGUGAUCCAGGGCAUACGGUUCAGCCCAAUGAACUAUUUGCGAUGAGGCGGAACAAAAGAAACGGGCAGCCUGAUGAAGGUGUGUGCGAUAUAGAGCAUACGGUUCACUCGGAUGAACUAUUUGUGAUUAGGCAACACAAAAGAAACGGGCAGCCAGAUGAAGGUGUGUGCGAUAUACAGCAUACGGUUCACUCGGAUGAACUAUUUGUGAUUAGGCAACACAAAAGAAACGGUUAGCCAGAUCAUGGUGUGUGUGAUUGAGGGCAUAUGCUUCAGAAGGAUUAACUGUUUGCGAUUAGGCAACAGAACAGAAACGGGUAAGCCAGAUCAAAGUGUCUGCGAUUGAUGGCAUACACUUCAUAUGGAUGAACUGUUUGCGAUUAGCCACAACAAACUGAAAUAGUUAGAUAGAUCAACGUGUGUGCACUAGACGGGCACACCCAUUCUAAUUAAAAGAUGUGUGUUGACAUUGCCUAUUGCGGUGCACCCUAUGGUGGAAACGUCACGUACGCGGCCGAGAAGGCAUAUGUGCCCACGUUACGCCUUCCGGGAAUAGUGCCGCACUUAUAACCGUCAGUAAAUUUUGAGCAUGCGUCCCGUCACAUUCCAAAUUGCAAACCUGUUCACACCGAUCAAAACCUAAACGGUUUCCCAGUUAGGAGUGUAUUACUACGUGGUUAUAAAUACUACUACUCCAAUAUGACUGCACAUUCCUCCUCAACUCCUCAUCCACAAAAAGUCAAAAACAAACAAGUCAUUCAUCAUGGUUCCCUUGCGUCCGCCAUGGCCAGCGUGAGUUCUGGGUCAAGAGAUUGCGACCAGGGAGAGGCGAGCCUGGAAGUGGGAGCAAGAGAGAUGUCCCGCCUCACCGCGAUAGCAGCCAACAUGUCCCGCCGCACAGCCGUAGCAGUAGAGAGGUCCCGCCGCGCCGCCAAAGCAGCACAGAGGACCCGCCGCGCCGUCGAUGCAGCAGACUGGUCUGGCCGCGCCGCCGAAGCAGAAGAGAUGUCCCACCGCGCCGCGAAUGCAGCAGAGAUGUCCUCCCUUGCCGCGGCGGCCUGGGAAAAUGCCUCGUGGGCAGGCGAGGACUCUUACAGGCGCAUGCGUGCCCUCGUCCAUAGGCAGAUGGAUCAGAUCUCCAGGUGGGCGAGGUUGCAGGAUGACCUGCAAGCCUCGUUUGAAUAGCCUACCGACAUCAUCCGGCAAGUAAAUGAGAGCAAUGCAAAGCUCCGGGCCGAGCGCGACCUGCUGGGGCGAAGAUCGUUGGAAGUGCGGAGCAGCAGGAGCAGACCACUGCCUUGUUGAAGAGGACUGGCGUCAUCGUCGAGAAACUUAUGGACGAGAAUAACAAGCUGCGCAUCGAGGGCAGAAGGCUGGUGGAGGAAUCUGUGGAUGCUCUCAAGUAGCAUCUUGAGGACAAGAAAGAGCUCGUCGCCGCUCGCCGUGGAGACUAGUUCCCGCGGCCUGCAGCAACGCAUCAAGAAAGUAGAGAUCAGCGAGCUAGAUCGUUGUCUUCCUUCUUCUUUUGCCCUUGUGUCAUCGUCCUUAUAUUCACCAUGCUUGCUAUAAGUCGCAGUCGAUGCUAUAUAGGUCCGUCGGAUCUUACAUCAAGAUUCGUGCAAAACUUUCUUUUCAGAUUUUCAUUUCUCUCUCUUAAAUCUCAGUCCAGUGAGACAUAUAGCCAUGUCGUAGAACAGGUGCUCACGCGCCAUUAAUGGAGACGUUGGGAGGGAGGUGCACGGCGGGUAGCGGUCAAAGGGCUCUCCUCCCGAUGAGCACGCGUAGGGGUCUGAUCGCACGCCUCCCGUACUCAAAUAGCUACCCCACACGGCACCUCCUAGCCAAUAAAAACGGGGACACGUGGCCGCACGUCAUUGGUAAGUCGAACGCCCAUGGUUUCAAUAAUACUUGUGUUUUUGAUUUGUAAUGUGGCAUCACUUGUUCCAAAAUGACUUUGUUGAUUGUUAAUGUGUGGGCCUUCGCAAAUCGGACAGAAAAAUAACCACAGCAUGUUGGUGCCAUGUCAUGAGACCAUGCCAAGUUUCAUGAUUUUCAGGCGUGUUUUGGAAUUACAGGAAUUAAAAAACCAAAUUUCUCAAUCUUUCCGACCGACCCACGACGCCCAGAUGUUUGAAUUUCACUCACAUCCCUUGCAUGGGACCUAGAAAUUCACCCAAGGACACACAUGUGAUUUUUCAAACAACUUUGGUGCAAUGGAGCAUGUGCUUUUCGUUCAAAUUUUAAUUAUGCACAUUAAAUGGCCAAAAACUCGAUUAAUGUAUAAAAAAGGCGAAACGAGCCUAGAAUAAUUCCAAAAUUUAGCACGAUACUUCUAUUGGUCUAAUCUGGCUGUGUAAAAAAAUAAGGCGGGAGAAGGCAGUGUACGUAUGUCGUUUCGCACACGGAGGUGACACGUUCCCUCUCAGAACCAUGAGCCUUCUUGAGGGAAGCUCCGGUUCGCAAGAAGCUUACACCAAAGCUUGUCCCAAUUCUGCCAAAAAUAUUACCGCAGCAUGUUGGUGCCAUGCCAUGACACCAUGCCAAGUUUCAUGAUUUUCAGGCGUGUUUUGGUAUUACAGGAAUUAAAAAACCAAGUUUCUCAAUCUUUCCGACCGAGCCAUGACACCCAGAUGUUUGAAUUUCACUCCCAUCUCUUGCAUGGGACCUAGAAAUUCACCCACGGACACACAUGUGAUUUUUCAAAUAACUUUGGUGCACUGGAGCAUGUGCUUGUAGUUCAAAUUUGAAUUAUGCACAUUAAAUGGCCACAAACUCAAUUAAUGUAUAAAAAAGGCGAAAUGAGCCCGGAAUAAUUCCAGAAUUUAGCAUGGUACUUCUAUUUGGUCUAAUCUGGCUGUGUAAAAAAAUAAGGCGGGAGAAGGCAGUGUACGUAUGUCGUUUCGCACACAUAGCUGACACAUUCCCUCUCGGAACCACGAGCCUUCUUGAGGGAAGCUCCGGUUCGCAAGAAGCUUACACCAAAGCUUGUCCAAAUUCGGCCAAAAAUAUUACCGCAGCAUGUUGGUGCCAUGUCAUGAUACCAUGCCAAGUUUCAUGAUUUUCAGGCGUGUUUUGGAAUUACAGGAAUUAAAAAACCAAGUUUCUCAAUAUUUCCGGCCGAGCCACAACACCCAGAUGUUUGAAUUUCACUCCCAUCUCUUCCACGGGAUCUAGAAAUUCACCCGUGGACACACAUGUGAUUUUUCAAACAACUUUGGUGCACUGGAGCAUGUGCUUGUAGUUCAAAUUUGAAUUAUGCACAUUAAAUGCACAGAAACUCAAAUAAUGUAUAAAAAAGGCGAAACGAGCCCGGAAUAAUUCCAAAAUUUAGCACGAUACUUCUAUUUGGUCUAAUCUGGCUGUGUAAAAAAUAAGGCGGGAGAAGGAAGUGUACGUAUGUCGUUUCGCACACGGAGGUGGCACGUUCCCUCUUGGAACCACGAGCCUUCUUGAGGGAAGCUCCGGUUCGCAAGAAGCUUACACCAAAGCUUGUCCCAAUUCGACCAAAAAUAUUACCGCAGCAUGUUGGUGCCAUGUCAUGAAACCAUGCCAAGUUUCAUGAUUUUCAGGCGUGUUUUGGAAUUACAGGAAUUAAAAAACCAAGUUUCUGUAUCUUUCCAGCCGAGCCACGACGCCCAGAUGUUUGAAUUUCACUCCCAUCUCUUGCAUCGGACCUAGAAAUUCACCCAAGGACACACAUGUGAGUUUUCAAACAACUUUGGUGCACUGGAGCAUGUGCUUGUAGUUCAAAUUUGAAUUAUGCACAUUAAAUGCCCGAAAACUCAAUUAAUGUAUAAAAAAGGCGAAAUGAGCCCAGAAUAAUUCCAAAAUUUAGCACGAUACUUCUAUUUGGUCUAAUCUGGCUGUGUAAAAAAAUAAGGCGGGAGAAGGCAGUGUACGUAUGCUGUUUCGCACACGGAGGUGACACGUUCCCUCUCGGAACCAUGAGCCUUCCUGAGGGAAGCUCCGGUUCGCAAGAAGCUUACACCAAAGCUUGUCCCAAUUCUGCCAAAAAUAUUACCGCAGCAUGUUGGUGCCAUGUCAUGACACCAUGCUAAGUUUCAUGUUUUUCAGGGUGUUUUGGUAUUAUAGGAAUUAAAAAACCAACUGUCUCAAUCUUUCCGGCCGAGCCAUGACGCCCAGGUGUUUGAAUUUCACUCCCAUCUCUUGCAUGGGACCUAGAAAUUGACCCAAGGACACACAUGUGAUUUUUCAAGCAACUUUGGUGCACUCGAGCACGUGCUUGUAGUUCAAAUUUGAAUUAUGCACAUUAAAUGCCCAGAAACUCAAUUAAUGUAUAAAAAGGCCAAACGAACACGGAAUAAUUCCAAUAUUUAGCACGGUACUUCUAUUUGGUCUAAUCUGGCUGUGUAAAAAUAAUAAGGUGGGAGAAGGCAAUGUACGUAUGUCGUUUCGCACACGGAGGUGACACGUUCCUUCUCGGCACCAGGAGCCUUCUUGAGGGAAGCUCCGGUUUGCAAGAAGCUUACACCAAAGCUUGUCCCAAUUCAGGCAAAAAAAUUACCGCAGCAUGUUGGUGCCAGGUCAUGACACCAUGUCAAGUUUCAUGAUUUUUAGGCGUGUUUUGGAAUUAUAGAAAUUAAAAAACCAAGUUUCUCAAUCUUUCCGGCCGAGCCACGACGCCUAGAUGUUUGAAUUUCACUCCCAUCUCUUGCAUGGGACCUAGAAAUUCACCCACGGACACACAUGUGAUUUUUCAAACAACUUUAGUGCACUGGAGCACGUGCUUGUAGUUCAAAUUUGAAUUAUGCACAUUAAAUGCCCGAAAACUCAAUUAAUGUAUAAAAAAGGCGAAACGAGCCCAGAAUAAUUCCAAAAUUUAGCACGAUACUUCUAUUUGGUCUAAUCUCGCUGUGUAAAAAAAUAAGGCGGGAGAAGGCAGUGUACGUAUGCCGUUUCGCACACGGAGGUGACACGUUCCCUCUCAGAACCACGAGCCUACUUGAGGGAAGCUCCGGUUCGCAAGAAGCUUACACCAAAGCUUGUCCCAAUUCUGCCAAAAAUAUUACCGCAGCAUGUUGGUGCCAUGUCAUGACACCAUGCUAAGUUUCAUGAUUUUCAGGCGUGUUUUGGUAUUAUAGGAAUUAAAAAACCAAGUGUCUCAAUCUUUCCGGCCGAGCCAUGAUGCCCAGAUGUUUGAAUUUCACUCUCAUCUCUUGCAUGGGACCUAGAAAUUCACCCAAGGACACACAUGUGAUUUUUCAAGCAACUUUGGUGCACUAGAGCACGUGCUUGUAGUUCAAAUUUGAAUUAUGCACAUUAAAUGCCCAGAAACUCAAUUAAUGUAUAAAAAGGCCAAACGAACACGGAAUAAUUCCAAUAUUUAGCAUGGUACUUCUAUUUGGUCUAAUCUGGCUGUGUAAAAAAAUAAGGUGGGAGAAGGCAGUGUACGUAUGUCAUUUCGCACACGGAGGUGACACGUUCUUCUCGGCACCAGGAGCCUUCUUGAGGGAAGCUCCGGUUUGCAAGAAGCUUACACCAAAGCUUGUCCCAAUUCGGGCAAAAAAAAUACUGCAGCAUGUUGGUGCCAUGUCAUGACACCAUGUCAAGUUUCUUGAUUUUUAGGCGUGUUUUGGAAUUACAGGAAUUAAAAAACCAAGUUUCUCAAUCUUUCCGGCCGAGCCACGACGCCCAGAUGUUUUAAUUUCACUCCCAUCUCUUGCAUGGGACCUAGAAAUUCACCCAAGGACACACAUGUGAUUUUUCAAACAACUUUGGUGCACUGGAGCACGUGCUUGUAGUUCAAAUUUGAAUUAUGCACAUUAAAUGCCCGGAAACUCAAUUAAUGUAUAAAAAAGGCCAAACGAACAUGGAAUAAUUUGAAAUUUUAGCACGAUACUUCUAUUUGGUCUAAUCUGCAUGUGUAAAAAAUUAAGGCAGGAGAAGGCAAUGUACAUAUGUCGUUUCGCACACGGCGGUGACACGUUCCCUCUCGGAACCAGGAGCCUUCUCGAGGGAAGCUCCGGUUUGCAAGAAGCUUAGACCAAAGCUUGUCCCAAUUCGGCCAAAAAUAUUACUGCAGCAUGUUGGUGCCAUUUCAUGACACCAUGCCAAGUUUCAUGAUUUUCAGCCGUGUUUUCGAUUUACAAGAAUUAAAAAACCAAGUUUCUCAAUCAUUCCGGCUGAGCCACGACACCCAGAUGUUUGAAUUUUAUUCCCAUUUCUUGCAUGGGACCUAUAAAUUCACCCAAAGACACACCUGUGAUUUUUUAGGAAACUUUGGUGCAUUGGAGCAUGUGCUUGUAGUUCAAAUUUGAAUUAUGCACAUUAAAUGGCCAGAAACUCAAUUAAUGCAAAAAAAUGCCAUACGAACCCGGAAUAAUUCCAAAUUUAAACACGACACUCAUGUACUAGUUGCAUGUUCACUGUACAUAAAUGUUCUAGCAAUUCAAACACCAUCCUUUCCCUCCGUAACACCAUUUUUCCUUCAAAACAUAAUGAAAAAAUCAGGUAUACCACAAACAGUUUACUAGAAAGAAUCGUGUGGGAUGCGAUAUAAAAUAUCUUGGCGCACCGUCUUGUCUGGCUUAAGCAGGAAGCUUCGUCGCCUACAGUCCACCGCCCCUGCUUGAACCACACUUGCGCGCUAGUUUAUCGCGGUACCGAGCGAAUUUUUUUUGCCACCGCGGAAAUAUCUAUCUCCCCGCCCCCUCCCUCCUACCAUAAGCCACAUUUCCAAUGUUCCUCCUUGCUUUCCAAGUUCAAACCUUCACUGCUGCUUACUAGUAGCUCAGCCUCCUCACCGGCUACCCUUCUUCCUACAGCGCCGCCUCCUCGUCGCCUACCCUUCUUCUUGGAGCGCCUCCUCCUCGCCGGCGACCCUUCUUCUUGCAGCGCCGCCUCCUUGCCGGCGACCCUUCUUCUUGCUGUGCCGCCUCCUCGCCGGUGACCCUUCUUCUUGCUGCGCGGCCUCCUCACCGCCGACCCUUCUUCUUGCUACGUGGCCUCGUCGAUAUGGUCAGGUAAUCCACACCCCACCCACACCAUCCUCCUCCUUUCCCGUCCCACAUGCCCCGACUGACGGAGUGACACCUUCCACUGAAAUCACUGCCCCCUCCAAUUAAGCACCGCCCACAGCCAUUUUACACGCAGUAUAACGUGGAGCUGAGUAGCAUGCGGCCGCACGCGCGAACGAGGUUGCUAUGGCUGACAUGCGUGUCGACCGCCAGAUCUUGGAGGAGCACCUCGUCUUCGAGGCCACCAUCGACACCACCGCGCGGUUGUCUACUUUAAAAUACAGUUCGUGAUGUUUUCUCGAGGCCACCGCCAGUGCCUUCUACUGAUUUGUCCUCUGUAAUGUUAAUAUGCAAUCUGAUGUUCAGUUAACAGUUUGGUCCUCUGAAAUGUAAUGUUCAGUUAACACUUUGGUCCAAAAAUUGCUACAUUUCGUAGUACUGUUCUCAAGCAUUCUUUGUUUUGUUAACUGUCUUAUCUUCUAGUACAUGUUUCUAUUCUGCAAUGUCGUGCUGAGUUAACUAUUUUGGUUCAUUUGGUCUGCUGUCCAUUUAAUUGUUUGGUUCAGUUCUGCAAUUUGAUUUUCAUUUGCUGUGGGUACAAUUUUGUAUUGUUAUGCAUGUGACACCAAUCGAAUUUCACUGUACUCAAUACAUAUUCUACUGAUAGUAUGGCAACUCUCAGUUAACCUGAUCAAGAUCUUCCUUAUGUGUGUUGUAGGGAAACAAUGGGAGACACUGCGAUUUACCAUCGAGGUUUGUUCAAGCAGGGUCCUUUGGCUAAUAGCACAUUAUUGUGCAGUUGCAGGAAUCAUUCUAAUAUUUAGGUUUCUUACAAUUUGGUCUUGCACAUGUAGGUCCUGCUGUUAGAGGCUUAGACACACUGUUCGACCCAUUUUGCAUAUGGGGAAAUGAGAUGUCCAUGAAUAUCAAUCAAGUCAAGAAACUCAGAAAGAUUGUUAGGAUGAAGAAACUUGCGAUGAAUAACAGCAAGAUCUUUGUUUGCACAAUGAAGAAGACAUCAGUCAACUAUAGGAUGGUAUCAACUCUUUUACCUUGUUUUUACCCCUUGCGCCAUUUCAAAAUUUACAACAGCGAUUUAUGCAUAGCUUUGUUUUCAGUACUUUUCAAAGAAGUUCACCGAUGAUUACCUCUCAAACCACCUGCAUGGUCAAGAGGCGAGGAAGGUAUUCAUUCAACACCCACGGUACAAUAUUGAAGUCUUGCUGAAGAGGACGAAGGUUGGGUGGGCAAUUAUCCAUAGCCACUGGCCUAAAGUUGCAAGGACAUUCAACAUCACUGAAGGCUCAAUAUUUGCCUUCCGCUUCUGCAAUUUCCCAGAUGAGAUUCAUCUGUCUAUAUACCGUGUAUGAUGCUACUUUCCAAAGGUUUUUGAUGCUGCAUGUGAAACUUGGUGCUGUUGUGUAAUGGCGUAACUGAGUGCCGAAGCUAUCUGAUGUAAUUCGAUUAUGAAAUCCUGGUUGCUUCUAUAUGGAUAUGAAAUAUCUGGCGUGUUUUAUAAGAAAUAUCAGUUUGAUUAGUACAUGGAUUAUCAAUAAUAGGCCAAUUACCCUACUUAUUGGGGUUUUCUAUUGCAAACGGUUACUCAGACAUCACCGUGGGCGAUGAACUCAAACAACCCGCACGGUUUCUAGAAAGUAGGCAUGUUCGAUCAACUAACAAUCACACAUAGCUUCCGGCAGCAAACUGUUUGCGUUAGGCCACCUUGCACACACGUUUCCACACAAAGAGCUGUGUGGGAUGUACUUACCUACGGAAAUGAUUUUCUGGGAUUCACCGUGUGGGAUGUACAUACCUACGAAUGAUUUCUGGGAUUCACCGUGUGGGAUGAACAUACCUACGGAAAUGAUUUCUGGGAUUCACCGUGUGGGAUGUACAUACCUACGGAAAUGAUUUCUGGGAUUCACCGUGUGGGAUGUACAUACCUACGGAAAUGUUUUCUAGGAUUCACCGUGCGGGAUGUACAUACCUACGGAAAGGAUUGGGUUCCAUGCCUCGCCCGAUUGCACACGGCCCCAGCCUNNNNNNNNNNNNNNNNNNNNNNNNNNNNNNNNNNNNNNNNNNNNNNNNNNNNNNNNNNNNNNNNNNNNNNNNNNNNNNNNNNNNNNNNNNNNNNNNNNNNNNNNNNNNNNNNNNNNNNNNNNNNNNNNNNNNNNNNNNNNNNNNNNNNNNNNNNNNNNNNNNNNNNNNNNNNNNNNNNNNNNNNNNNNNNNNNNNNNNNNNNNNNNNNNNNNNNNNNNNNNNNNNNNNNNNNNNNNNNNNNNNNCACCGUGUGGGAUGUACAUACCUACGAAUGAUUUCUGGGAUUCACCGUGUGGGAUGAACAUACCUACGGAAAUGAUUUCUGGGAUUCACCGUGUGGGAUGUACAUACCUACGGAAAUGAUUUCUGGGAUUCACCGUGUGGGAUGUACAUACCUACGGAAAUGAUUUCUGGGAUUCACCGUGUGGGAUGUACAUACCUACGGAAAUGUUUUCUAGGAUUCACCGUGCGGGAUGUACAUACCUACGGAAAGGAUUGGGUUCCAUGCCUCGCCCGAUUGCACACGGCCCCAGCCUGGGUCCCACGAGGGCCUAUCCCCGAUGAUUUCUGGGUCGUGUGGGAAGGACCCCCCUAUCGCCCACACUCACUUGGCGACGGUUCCAAAUGCCGUCGCGGAAAGGGGUUUUAAACCGUUUGUUUAGGACGUCGUUGUACCAGUGUUAUGAUCGAAGUCAUUCCACACACUUCGUUUUUAGAAAGAUUUUUGGCAAUAAACGCCCACGGUUUGUCCCUCUUCUAGCCGACGCGUGGCCAAACUAGCCGGGCGGGAAGCUUGCGCGGUAAACAGCGCGGUAGCGCGGGAACAGGCUCACCGACGAUACAUUUGGCGCCUCUUCAAGCCCACGCGUGCGGUGCGGUGUUGUCAAGCGUGCACUGGAAUCCUCCGCUAUGAACGCCGUGACAAGACGUGACGAUUACAGGCCGGCCGGCCCCCAUUUAUUACAGCAGCCAUUAAACCCUUGUGUCUCUUCAACCUUUCGAUCGCGCCCCACCAUUGCAAGAAGCACACCCACCACGAGAAAUUCUUAGUGGGUAUCCUGCGCAGCUCCAAUGGUGCUCCGAGCGGCUGCCGACGACGAGCAGCAGUUCACCGUGUGUGCCGUGGUGGACACCCACAGUAGGUUCAUGGACCUCUCGGUGGUGUACACCAACGAUUCGGACUGGGUGGAGCACUCCAUCCACAUCAUUGAGUUGUUGCUUGCCGAGGAGAAGUACAAGGUGGUCGGGUUUGACCUCGAGUACACCCGCGCUCGUGCCGGGUCUCGUCCCAAGGUCGCCGUCGCCCAGAUGUGCGUGCGCCACCACGUACUCGUCUACCACUACUGCCAGACCACAAGGCCUUGCGAGCGUUUCGUCAGGUUUGUCAACAUCCCCCACUACAUGUUCGCUACGGUGGACAUCACCAACGAUGUAAAGGCGCUCGAGAAUUCGGGCAUCUCCUGCCAGAAUCUUGUCGACAUCCAGGGCCAAUACAAGAUCUGGGGCAGCAAGGAGCAUGAGAAGGACUCACUGGUUCACCUCACCGAGGCCAUCAUCGACCCCUACUACAGAGACAUGUAGGAUUCAUGCAACAAGGACAAGCAUGCCUGGCACUUGGCCUGGAUGGAGAAACUCGACAAAGCUCACAUCGUGUACGCGGCCAAGGAGGCAUACACGAGCUACGACAUGUACAGGCGGAUCGUUGACAUGAGGAAGUGCCUCCUUCCCCAAAACGGCCAGGGAUCCAGCCGGAAGCAGAGCAAUGGCAAGCGUCGUCGCAACAAUAAGUAGAUGAUUAGAUCCUCGUUUCUCCUACUUUAGUACGCAUGUAAUUGCUUACUUUGGUGUGUGGAAAUGUUAUGUGUGUAGUCACUUGUGUAAUUGUAUGCUUAAUGUGGUUAUGUAAUGCUGUCUUUUUAAGUAUAUAUGUUGAUGCUCUUCGACAGAGCGUAGAUGUUGUGCGGACAAAGAAAAUCACAUCGCACAUGGACUAAACAAUGGAACCCGUCGGUGAUGUUUUCAUCAAUCACUCACAAUUGUAUAUCAGCAAUCGUUUGCUCACAACACACAUGGCUUGUUAGCAGUAAUCGUCUGUGUUGUUAUCGGUCUUCGCACACGUUUCCGAUUACUGACCUAUUUGCCUCGUAUCACACACAUCUUGUUCAUUUGAACCGUUUCUGUUCUCAUGUCUCAACGCAAACAGUUCAUCUAAGUGAACCGCAUGCCGUAUAUCGCACACACCUUUGAUCUGGCUGGCCGUUUCUUUUGUGUUGCCUAAUCACAAAUAGUUCAUCCGAGUGAACCGUAUGCUGUACAUCGCACACACCUUCAUCUAGCUGCCCGUUUCUUUUGUUCCUCCUCAUCGCAAACAGUUAAUUGAGCUGAACCGUAUGCCCUGCAUCGCACACGCAACUAAAAUCUGAACCUGUUUGAUGCAUCCUCCAUCGCAAACGUUUUGCACCUUAUUUGACGGUUUUUUACACCACCGUUUGCAAUUAUGGCAUCGCACACAGUUUCGUCAAAGGGUCUCUGAUCGUAGUGUCGCGUUAGCAGCAUCCUGCAGUAGUGUAGAUCCGAUCUUGCAAGUCAUAUGCACCUGCUACGUGUUGUGAUCCUUAAACCCCAGGGUGACAGUAACUGGGAUACUUUCCGGUGAUGACCGUAGUUUCAGGAGUUCAUGUAUUCACUAUGUGUUAAUGCUUUGUUCUGGUUCUCUAUUAAAAGGAGGCUUUAAUAUCCCUUAGUUUCCUUAUGUACCCCGCUGCCACGGGAGGGUAGGACAGAUGAUGUCAUGCCUGUUUUUUUCUGUAAGCAUGUAUGACUAUUUAUGGAAUACAAGCCUACAUUAUAUUUUUGAACUGGAGCUAGUUUUGUAUCGGCCUAGGUUAUGACUGUUAUAUGAUGAAUAUCAUCCAACGAAUUCACCGAUCCAAUGCCUACAAGUUUUCCACAUAUUUUUAUUGCUGUGUUACUACUGCUACUGCUACUACUACAACUCCUACAAAAUUAUUGCUAUCACUGUUACCGUUACUAUUACUGUUACCACAGUUAUCAAAACUAUCAUAUUACUAUGCUACUGAUCACUUUGUUGUAGAUAUUUAAUCUCUAGGUGUGGUUGAAUUGACAACUCAACUGCUAAUACUUACAAAUAUUCUUUGGCUCUCCUUGUCUCGAAAAUAUAAAUUUGGGUUGAAUACUCUACCCUCGAAAACUGUUGCGAUCCUCUAUACUUAUGGGUUAUCAUACCCCCUACUCCCUAGGCUCAAGGCAUGUGGCCAGGACGCGUUGGCCCUAGGCUUCCCUGAGUCCCACUUUUGGUAUGUGUCUCGUCCAAUGAAUAGCAUUUGAUUUUUUAUGGAUUUUACCGAGUUCACGAAGGUUCAUGUACCCAUAGAGAUAAAAACAUGCAACUAGCCCGACUGACACUUUAUUAACAGAGUAAUCCAAAUGAAUAUAAAACAAUGUUUAAUUUGAUAAGAAAAUGGCAUGAGAACUUCAAAAUCUAUAGAUAUGUUUAGGGCAUAUCCCGCGCUAUGAGGAGAGCGGCUAAGCGAUACGUUAUGUCGCAUGAUGAAAUUAUUAAUCCGGAGGAAGAUAAUUAGAGCGCAUUGUGCCUGUAAAACAAGAUCAAAUAGAACCGUUGAAUGAUGUUUAUUUAAGGGUCAAGAUGUGUUUUUAUAAGCUCUAACUUGUACCUUUCAUAUUAGUAGGAAGAGAAUACUAGAGCAUGGAUACUUACAUUAAGCUCUCUAGUAGACUAGUUUGAAAUGUCAAGGUGAUUGCAUUGGCUGAGAAACUUAGGGUAUGGUUCAAUAUCCUAAUUAAUAGGCACAUAUUUCCGAAAGUGAUCUUCCGAGCUUGCGCGGUAUCCCCCCGCUUGCUCGCCUCGUGAUCCAGAAACACGAGCGUACAGGCCCAGGUGUUAUUCACGUAUAGUGUUUUUUGAACAGUUCACAUGGCCCACGUCUGCCCGCACGGCCUUACAACGCCGUGAGUCACCUGGGCUCUGGCUCAGACGUACGCAAAUGGGGUGGGCCGUUUUCGCGCCGAUUCUGGGCCAACGCCGGCUGCUGCUCUUUUACUGCUGUGCCGCUUCACCACCUUACCCAUCACGAUUCAUUCAUCCCCUUCCCUCUCGCUCAUUCUACUCUCCACUUAAUCUAGCGCAAUGUUAGAAAUAGAUUCCUUCCAAUGCUUGCUAAACCUAGAUUAGAUCAAGGAGAAACUAACCUUUGCGGAUACUCCAUCCACCCCGUCAAUUGGAUCUGAUUUUGUAAGCCCAGACAACAAGAGAGAUAGCAUGGUUGGAACCAUGGCGAGAGCUGCCUUCUAAUGGUCGGUCUCUGUUUUACCAGUAUAGAGGAAUGGCUCAGCCCAGGCAGUCUGCUCCGCUCCUUAUCUACUUUCUGCUGCUCAUCUUCCCGCUCAUGGUCUUUGAAAUUUGAAAGGGAUUACCACAAUAAUGGGCACGCGGUAUCCCAGAGAGCACGCACCUGUCAUUCAGAAAUACAGACACCAAAAAUUCAGAAACCAAGACUCGUUUUCAUAGUCAUCCAAUUUCCAAAAUGCAUCCUCACAUUGCAACAUAAUCCAGAAAUCAUUACAGUACAGGAGUUCUACUGUGGAACAUAAUUCAGAAACUAAGACAAUAAUCAAAAUUCCAUAAUGCAUCAUCACAUUGGAACAAAAUUCAGAAAAUCAUGACAGUCCAGAAGCUCCAUUGUGGCACAAAAUUCAGAAAUCAUGAUAGUAGAUAAGUUCUACUAACAGAACUACCGACGAACCCUCAUACACACAGUUCCAAACCAUUUGUAGCAUACAGUAGCUUCAGAUUAUACAUAGUUGGCAAAACAGCAGCUGAAUACACCCAGCAAGCAUGGAAAUAAAGAAGUUCUAGUGAUAGAACUACCAACGCACACAUGAUGUUCUACAAGUUCAUAGUCUAAACAAACAGAUUCUUAUAAUUGCUCACAGCCCAAUCAUCCACAGAUCACCCACUUUGUGGCAGUUGUUUCGCCUGUGCCCUUUGAUUCCACAAUUUUUGCACCUCGCUGGCUUGCGAAUAGGCUUCGGGGCAUCACCCCUGUCCGGGCACGUAGUCCUCUUGUGCCCCUGCUGCCGACAUAUGCCGCAGAACCUUGUCCGUUUGCUGAGCCCCUCGUACGGUGCCUUCUCAGGGCUGGUGGUUGGGCGUCCCAUUUCUUUCCUCUUCUUUGGCGCCAACAAACCAGCGAGUCUGUUGCCACUCUCAUAUGCAGAAGUAGCAUCACGAUUCACCGUAGCCAUAACUGCACCGCCACUUGCUGCAGCAAGAGGUGUUUGUACUGCUAGUUGAUUAACAACAUCUCCAUGUUCAGCUACUCUGUACUCCAAACCCAUGUCCCUGGUCCACCGUUUGACAAUGUGCUUAUGUGGUAUUUCCGUAGUACGGAUGAAAUCCAGCACCUGCAUUUUUCAAAUUGCUCAUUUAGUGCAUCACAGACUGCACAUAGUGUAUACACAUCUCAAAAACAUAUUCUCCAUUUUUUCAGAAACCAUACCUUCAGAACAUGGCUGCAAAGGAGCCCCAUGUGUGCAAAUUGCCCGCACUCGCAGUCGAAUUCCUCACCUCCUUCAAGAACAUUCACCUUAUAUGAUACCCUACACCAUUUUUCUCUCUGUGCGGCUUCCGUAUGAAUUGCAAGAUAUGGUUUCCCUUUCUCGAGCUCCUCCACUUGGUAUGCGCCGCACUCAUAGAGAAUAUGCACAAACUUCUCAAACAUAGCUCGUCUGUAUAUCUUGUCGGCAUGUCUCUCAAUAGCUAAGUUUGCUUUGUACAGUGGUCUGCCCUGAAAUAUUAGAUGCACCAAAUUAGUGACCAAAAAUUACUACUGCACAUCUCGUGCCAAAUUAUGAAAAAGGUCUUACUAUUCGUGUCCGCUUCUCCUCAUAGUUCUCCUCAGCUUCCCUGUCAAAUUGAAGUCUCAUGUAUUUCUUCACAAACAAAUGCAUUGUACAACCAAGCGGGACAUAGUUCUUCAGCAUGUGAUUCGCACUUUCGCUGCGCUGGGUGCUGGUCAUCUUAGCACAAAAAACACCUUUAAAAUAUGCACCUUUAUUAUGCUGCGCUGGGUGUUGGUCAUCUUAUGUCAUACAGUUGUGUCAUGUAGUUGUGUGUCUUCAGAUUGUAUUUCUCCACCAAUACCUUCCAACCUUCCUUGAAUUCAUCGAUUGUAAGCAUGUGAUUUACUACCUUGUGGAACUCUGCCCUGAACUCGCUCUUCUUGGUGUACAACAAGCCAAGUGAUUCCUUCGCCUUCUUUAGCACAUGCCACUUGCACCAUCGGUGUGCCAUUUGAGGCAUCACACUUUUAAUGGCGACCUCCAUCGCUCGGUUUUGAUCUGCACAACAACACCAAAUUGUAUUAGACAACCAUGCUUUCGUAACAUCAAUACAAACAUUUGUCACACACAGAGUAUGUACAGUAUGAAUUCACACCUGUCAAAAUGGUUUUUGGUGCACUUCCGCCCAUCAUCCUAACAAAUUCUGUGAAAACCCACUCAAAUGUCUCAACUUUCUCAUCACGGACCAAAACCCCAGCUAGGAUGAUGCUCUGGAAAUGAUUAUUGACACCUACAAACAGACCAAAUGGCAUGUUGUACAAGUUUGCUCUAUAUGUCGUAUCGAAGGUAACAACAUCUCCGAAGAAUGUGUACUGCAGCCUGCUACUCCCAUUUUCCCACAUAAGAGUCGUUUUCCACCCAUCCUGGUCCGCCUGGACACGAUACGUGAAGUGUGGAUCUCUUGAACCCAGAUCUACAAAAACCUCCAUCGUUUUCCUCACAUCAUCCUCUGCUUGCUCUCUGCUGAUUUUACCACACAAAUUUUUCAGAGCCCUUUUUGUGAAAGGAACCUUUUCCAUUGAACCAAAAAAGCUCCCAAUUAUACUGUGUACUUUGCCUAAAUUCACAUUGUUCUACCGUAAUUGCUCCACCAAGUCUCUUCUAUAGGCAUCAAUGUGCUUGUGGGACGGCCAGUGAAUCGUCUGCCCAUAUGUUGGAGAUAGCGAAUGAUUGUGUUAUUCAUGAUGUUCAUAUAGUAUCAACCAUUGUCCUUCGAACAAAGCAACCUUAUUAAUGCUGGGCAUUCGCAUCGGCACGGUCUAGUGUUCUCCACCCCUGCUUUGCCCUGCAAAACACCAAUCAUCAAGAACAUGCAAAAAUCAGGUUUCACAGACUCAAGAAGCAGACCAAAUUUAUGAAAUAAUCCAGGAGGGUACAAAUACAUACCGCACAUCCACAAACGAUUUCCUGCAUGCAUUUUUUUCUCUCCACAUCCAGCCUACUCUUCCCGUACCUUAGUCCAAAUCCCUUCUCCCAUGAGUAGAGAUUGUAAAAAUCAUAGGCCUCCCCAAGUGUAUCGAAGCUUGUCCCCAGUGCUGGCACGAUUACAAUGCUGCCUGGCUUGUCAGCAAAACCCCUUAUUGCCUUCUCAAGGGCGCUGGGUUGCCGAGGGCAAGGCGCCCUCCUAGGAGCAGCAGCUCCAAUUCUAACCCUGCAUUUUUCAUAGAUCAAUAUGUCACAGCUUGUAUGUGUACUGGAAUGAAAUCACUAAUAUCCUGCUUAUGCCUAGAUCCAGAGUUUUCAACAUUUCGAUCUCAUACUAAUUCGCUUUAUCCAUAAUCCACAACCCCUAGCAUUUUUGUGUCCCCCUCAAGCUGCAUAUCAGAAACCUUCCCAACGAAAUUGUGGUAUCCUGAUCCAGGACUGCUUAGCCUUUUUGUUAUCCUAGUACACCUACUGGUAGGCACUCAUGUUAAGGCUGCCAUCAUGACAUGUUUACCAAAUUCAAAUUAUAUUUGUGUUUCAUGAAUGACCAAUUUUUAUUUAUCAUGUCAAACAAGCCUGCCUUUUAGUCCACGCUCUAAUUUAUAUUCUUACUUUCCCUGUAUUCCAUGAUCCAAUUUUUGAACUGCUAGUUCCCAGCUCAAUUCCGCUAUCUAUCCCCUACUAUCAGAAUCCAGUAUCCAUAAACAAAUACCAACACUGCUAUGCUUUAUAUUAACCAUCUGUGCCUGCUAGUUUGCAAAGUACUGCCUAUGAGGGAAGAACACAAGCAUUUUCCAUAAUGUUGUAUACAGCUAUUCCAAUUUUCAGAGAAUCUUCUUUAUACAAAAAAUUCAUAUACAGCCUACUGCUAAACCGGUCUGACUACACACAAGUCAGAAUGUGGCAUUUGCAUAGUAUACUUCAAAGUGGACAAACACCAUUAGCCAAUAGAUUACCUGCGAGUCCAGCCAGGAGUUUUUGGAUCAAUUUGACCUAUGGAUUGCUCAGAUGCUUGCGGUUCAUCACCCCCCUCUGCCACGACUGUCACAUCCGCCGCACAAAUCUACCCGUCAAUGCUACCUAUGGCCAUUGGGGGCAGCUCUUCGGCUCCUGCCGCCACAGCUGGGUAGAGCAGAUGCUCCAUUGGUAGCUCGUUGUCGUUCACCUCCUCCAUCACCGCGGUCUUGCAGUCCACCAAAUCCAUGGAUGAGAGGCACAUAUCCACCAACAGGAACUCUCUUGAGACGGGGAGGGGCGGGGGUGUGAUGACCCACAAGUAUAGGGGAUCAAUUGUAGCUCUUUUCGAUAAGUAAGAGUGUCGAACCCAACGAGGAGCAGAAGGAAUGACAAGUAGUUUUCAGUAAGGUAAUGUCUGCAAGUGCUGAAAUUGUAAGUAGCGGAGUAGUUUGAUAGCAAAAUAAUUUGUAACGAGCAAGUAACGAUAGUAGUAAAAAAUAUGCAGCAAGGUAGCCCAAUCCUUUUGAGGCAAAGGACAGGCCAAAACGAUCUCUUAUGAUAAGCAAAGUGUUCUUGAGGGUACACGGGAUUUUCAUCUAGUGCACUUUCAUCAUGUUGGUUUAAUUCGUGUUCGCUACUUUGAUAAUUUGAUAUGUGGGUGGACCGGUGCUUAGGUCCUGUUCUUACUUGAACAAACCUCCUACUUAUGAUUAACCCUCCCGCAAGCAUCCGCAACUACGAAAAAAUUAUUAAGAAUAAAUUCUAACCAUAGCAUUAAACUUUUGGAUCCAAUCGCUCCCUUACGGAAUAGCGCAUAAAUUGGGGUUAAGCUUCUGUCACUCUCGCAACCCAUCAUCUAAUUGCUACUCCACAAUGCAUUCCCUAAGGCCCAAAUAUGGUGAAGUUUCAUGUAGUCGUCGUUCACAUGACACCACUAAGGGAAUCACAACAUACAUACUAUCAAAAUAUCGAACACAUAUCAAAUUCACAUGAUUACUUGCAAAAUGAUUUCUCCCAUGACCUCAAGAACAAAAGUAACUACUCACAAAUAAUAAACAUGUUCAUGAUCAGAGGAGUAUUAAAUAGCAUAAUGGAUCUGAACAUAUAAUCUUCCACCAAAUAAACCAUAUAGUAAUUAACUACAAGAUGUAAUCAACACUAAGCACCAAUCUAUAGUUCUGUUAACAAGAUUGAACACAACAGAUGAACUAGGGUUUGAGAUGAGAUGGUGCUGUUGAAGAUGUUGAUGGAGAUUGCCCUCCCCAAGAUGGGAGAGUUGUUGGUGAUGAUGAGGACGAUGAUUUCCCCCUUCGGGGGGGAAGUUCCCCCGGCGGAAUCGCUCCGCCGGAGGGCAAAAGUGCUCCAGCCCAAGUUCCGCCUCGAGACGGCGGCGCUCCGUCCCGAAAGUCCUCUCCUUAUUUUUUCUAGGUCAAAAUGUCCUAUAUACCAGAAGUUGGGCACCGGAGGUGGGCCGAGGAGGGCACAACCCACCAGGGCGCCCAUGGCCUCCCUGGCGCGCCCAGGUGGGUUGUGCCCACCUGGUGGCCCCCCUCUGGUAGUUAUUUGCUCCAAUAAUUCUUAUAUAUUUCAUAAAAAAUCUCCGUCAAGUUACAGCUUAUUUGGAGUUGUGCGAAAUAGGUGGUCUGGCAUAGCUUUUCUAGGUCUAGGUUUUCAGCUGUCGGAAUUCUCCCUCUUUGUGUGUAACUUGUAAAUUAUGAGAGAAAAGGCAUUACAAUUACUCCAAAAAACAUUAUUAUGAAUAAAAACAUUAUAAAUAACAGUAAGAAAACAUGAUGCAAAAUGGACGUAUCAGGGUGGUGGUGGGGGGUGGAACGGGGCUGAGGGAUUUCGUUUACCUUCUAAUCGAUUGCAUGAGGAACUCCAUCCGGGAAUCGCCGCCGAGUUUUCCUUCGGCCACAGACCUCGGCGGGCAUCAAUGGCGCUGCAGGAUAACGUUGCCACGGGUGGGAGAGAGCUCCUUCCAUCUGACUUGUCAAUUACUACGCUGCCCACCGCCCCCUACCGGAGAUCCAUUAUCUGAGCCACAGAUCGGGAGUAGAACAUAGACCCGAGCCACGGCUCAGGGAAUCUCCCGUCACGGCCCCAACCACAACCUCCGUCACCAGCGGUUCGUACGCCGCAGACCCAUUCGGUAUUCUUUCCUCCCAUGAAUUAAAAAGGAAGGAACAGCUGGUGAGAGACAAAUCUUGAAGCCCUAUCGAGUCGUCCUGAUAACACGAGCACAUGUGCUCGUGACUAGAACAACCGCGUCCCACAUAUUUCCAAUAAGUUUCUCACUACUAGACAUCUGAACACCAUUGACACUGACCAGUGGAAGCACAUUAGUGAUGAGGGUCAAUGCUGAUCGGCCAGUGGAAGCACAUUAGUGAUAUGUAUCCCUGGUCUUGGUUUGAAAGUUAUCAUUGACUGAUAUAAAAAUGACCGGUAUGUGAUAUGUUGUACCGAUGAGCACAAAUGAGCAAUUAUAAUCACUGAAUGGCGUCUCCACCUCACCCAUCUGUAUAGUCAACUUAAAUCUGACCCUUUUGUUUUUCCACUGGUCAAUGUUGUUCUGUAGAUAGCAUGUUAUAAUCAUCAGGCACUCCCUGUUUCCAUUCCUUACCUUCAUCGCCACCGUCCAGUCCCUUCCUCCCAUUGGCUUCCCUAUUACCCCUCCUCUCCGUCUGGCCGCUUAUUGGUGGAGGGCUCUCCAACGGCCCUGCGGCCUUCCUUCAAGGCCACAUCGUCAUGACGCAGGCACUGCAAGUCCUCUGAGCCUCGUGGCAGCGCUCUCUCGUUGGAUCGUUGCCGCAUUCUCGGACACCCCUUGCUUUGCCCCUGCGAUCUUCCUUGCUGCUAGCUAUGUCUCCCGCGCCUCGAUGCAUGGUGGUAGACCCGACAUGUACUGCACUAUUCUUCGGUUGCGGCGCCGGCCACGAUGGUGAACUCCAUCCCUUCACAACUAUGUUGCAAUUCAAUUAUGCUAUGGAUGUCAUGGAUGUGCUACAAUUCUAUGAUGCAUGUAAUUGUCUUGUUAUGAAUCCUACAAUUUCUAUGUGUUUCACGUACCUACGAAUAUGUCAGAAAUAUAAUCUGCCAUAUAUAUGUUAGGAAAUGAUCUUGCCGGGGUUGCUCUGCCCUGGAGUAUAUAUUAUGCAUGUUAUAUGUGACAAUAUAGUGAUGAAUAUUUCAUUGAAAAUAGUACAAAUGCAACCAACUCUCUCAUUAGGAGAUAUAGUGCAAUAUUGUUCAAUGACAUACUUGGUGCAUAUUAUUUGACUCAUCCAUGUCUAAUGAAACUCAACUAGGUCUAAAUAAAAUAAUACUAUUGCAGCUGCCAUAUAUUUUAGUUGCACUGCACAAAUUGAAAGAAGAGAUGAGAAAGUCUUAGGGGUAGUAGGCCCGAGCAACUUCGGAAUCCUCACUUUGGAUACGGGUGUGCACAAGUGGUAGAAGAGGUAAAUAGUUUCUAAGGAUCUGAAACAAGUGUCGGAAGAUUCUGCCAUCUCCAGACACACAACAAAUAUCCACUUGCUGCUUCUUGGAGAAACCGAGGGAGUCCUCGAGUGGAGUCUAUUAAACUUAGAUAUUAUAUUCUUAACUACAUCUGUAUUAAAUGAACCAAUGAAUAUUUUAAUUUAAUUGCCUUGGAAAUUUCGUGUGCGUGGACUUGCAUUUUAGUGGCACUGCACAAUAGAAGAUGACCGAGGGGUUUAUGAAGUAGGAGAGAGAUCGGUGAGAAAAUAUAUGACCUCCCUCUAGUUUGUUAAGAGGCUCAAAGUGCGUAACUUUGGCUAGUAUUCUUGAUUUGUUGGUUCACAAUCUUGUAUGUUAAGAGGCUCAACAAUGAAGCGUGUAUCUUUGGCUAGUAUUCUUGAAUUGUUGGAUGUAAGCCGUGUAAAUGUACAUGUGAAUUUUGUUACAAAAGAAAAACAAUGUGCAAAUGAAUGAUUAUGCCUAUGUAUUAUGUUCCUAUCUUUCUGUAAAUUUUGUUUGCAUUGCUAGUCACAUAGAUAAAUAAAAUGCACACAUGAAAAUGGUUAACAAUAUCAGUAUCACUGACCAGCUCGCGUUCAGAACUAGUACCACGUCACUGACCGGCCGUUGGCCGGUCUCUAAUGAGCAAGUUAUCACUGACCCCAAGGCACUAACUGUCGGAUUCUGGGUUCCGGCAAACCCUUGAGGUUUGAACUCUGGGGUGCGCACGAAGAACUCUCUCUCCCUAGAUCGCUCUCGCAACGAUCUCAAGGCCUAGCUCGCCAAACCCAAGGAACAAGAGAUAUGAGAGUUUAUACUGGUUCGGGCCACCACUGUGGUGUAAUACCCUCACUACAAAAAAAAGACACAUCCAUGACAUUUUGGGCCGAACGAAUUUUUUUCUAUCAUACUUAUGAGACUUCUAUGACGAUAAUUGUGACAAAACCCGGUAUCAUCAUAGAUGUGGUGGGGUCCUACUUCUAUGACAAAAAAUCAUGACAGAAAAUGGGCUUUUCGUCCUGGGCGGGCCAGAGACGCAGCUGCAUGACAUUCUUUGGGCCGUCCAUGACGGAAAAAACAGUGGUAGAAGCGAAGGCGAGGAAAAUAUCAGGGAGUUCCCAUUUACGGUGCUGGUCAGGGGCUGAGCGAUGUGCGUUUCUCUCGUACGUACGCGCGUGUGUGCGAGGCGUUGCACUCUAACUGAACCCGAGCGAGGCGUUGGGCUCUAACUGAACCGGAGCGAUUGCACUGCAGGCUACACGUUACUGAACCCGAGCGAUCGAUCGAUGGCUGUUUACUGAACUCGAUCGAGCGAUUCCUUCGUUCGCUACUGCUGCUAACUGAAGCCGAUCGAACCUGCUGCCUCCUUCCCUUGAUGAACAAUGAGCGUUGUUGGGGGGUUUGGAUGAAUACUUCCCGGUGGGGGGUUGGAUGAACAGGAGCCCGUGGUAGUAGAGGUCAUUGCCGCUGGAUGAACAGGACCCCAAUCGAUCGAGCCGGUGGAGGGGUGGAUGAACAGGACCCCGUGGAGGGCUGGAUGAACAGGACGACCCUGUGGAGGGCUGGUUGAACAAUAGCCGGUGGAGGGCUGGAUGAACAGUAGCCCGUGGAGGGGUGGUUGAACUGGACCCCGUGGAGAGGGCUGGUUGAACAAUAGCCGGUGGAGGAGCGCGCGGUGGAGGCUGGAUGAACAGGAGCCCGUGGAUGAACAGUCGCAGGUGGAGGCUGGAGGAGCUCGACGGUGGAUGAAUAGUAACCCGUGGAGGCUGGAGGAGGUCAACGGUGGAGAUGAACAGUAUCCCGUGGAGUCCCGUUAUGCGGUACGCCACACCCCUCCCGAUGAGCAGGACCCCCGUUUCGACCGUAGCGCUCCAACACAAGUCCGUUUCCUCCGUUUUGCGGUACGCCACACCCCUCCCGAUCAACAGGACCCCGUUUCCACCGUAGGAGGUCCAACAGAAGUCCGUUUCCUCCGUUUUGCGGUACGCCAGACCCCUCCCAAUGAACAGGAUCCCGUUUUGUCCGUGGCCGUUCGAACACAAGGCCGUUUCCUCCGUUCUGCGGUAUGCUAGGCCUUGUUUCCAUCGGCUGUUCCGUCCAAGCCAGGUGGCUCCCGAUGAACAGCACGCGUUCCGUUGCCUCCCGAUGAACACGACGCAUUCCGUUGCCUCCCCAUGAACACGACGACGAUGCAGUUUCUCCGUUCCGACCCAGCCAUGUACACGAGCCCUAGCCGUACGUAUGCGCGAGUAGGCGUUCGAGCCCCCGCCCGUAUGUACGUACGUGUCCGUAUUUACUUUCUUGUACCCUGGCCACUGUACGUACGUGUACACGCUACGUGCGUGCCUCUACUACGACACGUGUGCGCCUCUACUUCGACCAGUAUGUACAUACACGAUCGCGACUAGAAUGACAACGCUACGUACGCUUCGACCAGGUGGGUCCAGACUGUUAGGCACUUCCUUGCGUGCGAAGAUGUAGCUGGUGGGUCCCAGCAGUCAGGGGAUGAAUCAUUUUUUUCCGUAAUAUGGAUGCACUUCCUUGUGUGUGAAGAUGUAGCUUGUGGGUCCCAGCAGUCAGGGGGGAAACAUUUUUUUCAUGAAAUAUGAUGGCCCGUCCGGUGGGUCCCUGCUGUCAGGUGGAGGAAUCAUUAUUUUCCGCAUAAUAAGGAGGCACUUCCUUGCUGCGGCUGUGGACCCAGCUGUCAGCGUCUCCACGUACAGCACUCUUCCGAUGGAAGUCGAUCAUUGACCACAUUGACCAUGCCGCGCCGAGAGCACGAAGGCGGUGGACGACGGCGAGGCCUAGGAAGGGGACGACGCGGAGCUGGGGAAGACGCGACAGUGGAUGCCCACGCGGAGAGGAGUACGAGGGUUCACUGGUUUGGCUGCGGUGUGAGGCUGCCGUCGCCGCAUAAUAGCAGGGGGUGUGGGUGAGUGGAGGGAUGGCCUGGCCAACGGUGGGAGUAGUAGGGGGUGGUGAGGCCUCCGCGGCAGCACAGCUGGCCACGAGAGGCAGGAGCAGGCGAUAUGACCGGCGCUGCUUGGGGCGGCUAGAGCAAGAAGACCAGAGGUUGAAGAAGCACGACGGCCGUUGGAUGGAUAUCAUACUGUAACUGCAGCUAGAAUCGUUUAUAUUGACUAAGUUGACAAAGCCCUUGAUACACGUCAACUUAGUAGGCCCACAGGACAACUUCCGAAACGGUGCGCCCCAGAUGUCAAGGGGAGGAAUCAUUUUUUGGGCGGGUGAAGCUAGAAUAUCCGAGAUUGGAGAAGAAGCACGACAUCCGUUGGAUGGACAUCCAACGGCCACUUCUGCUAGAACCGUAUGUUGACUAUAAGUUGACAAAGCCUUGCAUACGUGUCAACUAUUUUUUUAGGGGACGUGUCAACUUAGUAGGCCCACAAGUGUGUGUGGCAGAUAACUUAUAGCCCAUUUUGAGAUUUGUAAGAAUGUACAACCCAUUUAUGAAUUCUAAUGGAAUUUACUACAGCCCAUUUACAGUUUGUUAAAAGUAUAGCCCAUUUUCUAGCUAGGACAACGAUUAAUAAUUUCAACCAACCGUUCAAAACAUAAUUCAAUAAAAUUUCCCACAUUUUGAUGGGAUCCGAAAUAUUUUGAUCCUGAAAUUUCUAGUCAGAUUAAAUACAAUUUCAAUAUAAAUUUGUAUUACGUAAAAAUCCAACGAAACAUUGCGCGCGCAACAAUUAAUGAAAUUAAAAUUUUCAAAAUCCAGAAAUAAUUUUUGAUAAAGUAAUUACGUGUUUAGUGCAUUUUUUAUAGUUACUGCCUAGUUUUUAUAAUUACAUCCCAUUUGUUAUUUCUUAAAGCCCAUUUUCUUGUUAAGCCUAAUGCAUCCCUCCUAGAAAAGAUUUACAGCCCAGCGGGGCGGAGAAUAACAAGUUGACCUUGCCUGGGUAUUCCUCAAAAAAAAGUAUAGCUGGGCUAGCCAUUUUUAGCUUGAAAAAAAUUAAUAUCUGGGUUGGAUAUCUGGCCUGGGCUAGACGGGCCAUAGCCGGCCCAGUUAAUACCCUUCUCUCCUCUAAACAACAACGAAAACAUCGCUCAAGAACAACUCUGUAGUGCUCACACGUCAAAAAGACAAAUAGUGCUCGAGCUGCUUGGUCCCAGCUGUCGGCCGCUCCUUGUGCAAUUCUCUCGUUUAUUGACUACAUAGGUUGACAAUGGUGUGGGACCGUGAUGUCAGAAACCAGAAGGAAGCAAAAAAUAUUACAGUUGUAUAUAAUAAGGAGGCACUUGCGUACGUGCGGCUAUGGCCCUGGUGGGUCCCCACUGUCAUCCUCUCCAAGUAAAGUCAUCUCCUCAUUCCUCAUGCCGUUGACUAUGUUGACAACACGAGACGGCGGUGCCACGGCGAGGGCCACAACUCGAAGGACGACAGAGAGGGCCUCGCGGGCCCUAUGGAUGGUCUGAUACAGCGCCCGCUGCUCCUUCGGGAAGCCAGGAUCAUAGUGCCACAUGUCCGCGACGACAUUGUCGUUCGCUUGUUCACCGGUGCUCGUUGAGGAGUCGGAGGUUACAGCACCGGUCAUCCUGCACUGGUAGCUCUUCCGCCAUUAGGGCGUCGAAGUGGGCCACACCUGCUCUAUGGUGAACACGUCAUGAACUGGCUUGGACAGUGGCGCCGGCUCCUGGUCGGAAGCUACAUCCAUCGUCUGAUUGUCGUCGCUCAGCUCGGUGAGCUAGUUGGCGAGCCAGCAUGUCCGGCUGCUGGACCGACCCGCCGUCAAGCAUGAGUCUGACUGCCCUGGCCCACCCAGACUGCCUCCCUCGCCCGCGCGCGCUUUCCGCCCGAAACGGUCAGCGCCGCCCGCCCCGCUUCCCGGUGCAGGCGAUUGCUCCGCCUUCAAACGACACAAGUGUCAUCCGUCCGCCCGUUUGCCGCCCACAUUAAUGAUACGCAGUUGCCGAGGCGGCUACUCCGGCGCCACACGUCCGUCCCUCCGCCGCCCACCAUUGCUAUAUAAACUGCUACGCCGGCCAUAGCCGCAGUCAUCCGCCUCCGUUCCCUUUCUCCUGUCCACACCACUACUGCCCACCAUGGCUUCCUCGCGCUCCAGCGCUCUUCGGGACAGGCGGACGACAGACCACAAGGAGAUGGCAGCCAUUGCUACCGACUGCCUGGCCGGCAGGCAGCCGGAGGACGACGACGUCCCAAUGGAGAACAUGGUAGUCGACGAUCCAGCGCCAACCCCCUCCUCUGCGCCAUCCUCGCCGGUGCAUUGCACCAUGACCAUCGGCGAGGCCCGUGCCCAAUACAUGGACACGGUGAGGCAGAAGCGUGAGGAGCAGUUCUGGGAGGCGCAGGCCGACGCUGCCUACAACCACCAUCUCCUCCAGGAGCACCUGCAGGCGGAGUAGCAGAUCACCGUUGAGCGGGGGGAGCAGGAGGUGCUGCUCGACUCGUACGGCUCCGCCCGCGCGGGCCACCUCGAGCGCUGGCGGUACCGCAUGCGGGUGGCGGAGGUUGCGGCCACCUACAAAGAGGGCGAUGAAGCGGGCGAGGCGCUGUUUGGCGAGACCGAGGACGAGGCAGAGGACAAUGCCGGCUCCGACGAGUCCCCUUUCCACUGGUGUCGACGAGGCCCUGCUCUGCCGAGGCCCCGCAACACCAACAACGAGGCACAGGAAAAUGCCGAUUCCGCCGAGGCCCCGCCCCGCCGGCACCGAGGCGGAGGCCCUACUCCGCCCCAUGGCGCCAACAACGGGGCAGAGGACACCGCCGGCUCCGCCGAGGCCCCGCCCCGCCGGCACCGAGGCGGAGGCCCUACUCCGCCGAGGCCCCGCCCGCCAACAACGAGGCAGAGGACAUCGCUGGCUCAGCCGAGGCCCCACCCUGCCGGCAACAAGGGAGAGGAUUUCCCCCGCUCCGCCGAGGCGCCGACCUGUCGGCAAUAAGACAGAGGACAUCGCCGGCUCCGUCGAGGCCCCGCCCCGCUGCCAACGAGGGCGCGCCACACAGAAAACGAGGAAGAGUAGAACACGGUAGGUCGCCGCCGCUUGGGUCCAAGUAAGGCCACCGCUGCUACCCUCUGGUUGAAGCCAAGCUAGGCGGGUUGACCAUUGAUGGCCGAUUAGCUUCUUGGCGGCGACGUGGAGUCGGAGAGCUAUGUUGGAGAAGGACGUUGCUUCAGUUACUUAACUGCAGGUGCAGUUGGGUCACUGGCAUGUGGGCCCAAGAGGCAUCUGGCCCACAUGUAAGUGACGCAACUACACCUGCUGUUAUGUCACUCAAGCUCAGUCCACUGGAGAAGAAGCUUCUGUUCGGCUCAGCCGGACACGGGUGCUACGGUUAAUUAAUUAUACCUCCAGCGCACCCCUUUAUAGUUGAAGAAUGUAUGAAAUGUAAUGAAAUCCAGCAUGUUUAUAUGAAAUCCGGCAGUGUAUGAAUGAAUUUAGUUCGAUUUGUUCGAAUUCUUGUAUCACUGGCAUUGGAUGAACAUGCAAAACAAUACAUACUAGCAUUAUUCCCAGGGUGAUCACCUCAUUUGCAGCAGUUUCACAUGUACUCCCUCCGGUCCUUUUUAGUCUGCAUAUAAGUUUUGUCUGAAGUCAAAGUAUCUCUACGUUGACCAAUCUUCUAGAAAAAAGUAUCAACAUUCACAAUGUAAAAUCAACUGACUUGAAAGAAAUCUAAUAUGCGAAGUAAAAAGGAACAGAGGGAGUACAAAAUUUAGCGUUCCUGUACAUUGCAAUCAACACACAGGCCUGGCAAUUCAUAGUGAACAUUCAAAACAAUCAAUGAUUAUGCAUCUCAGUGAUUCACAUGUCAGAGCCAAUAUUUACUUCACAACUAAAGAAUAAAGAAAAAUCGAUCGAUGCUGCUAACAGCAAAGGGCGUCACAUUCGAAAAUAUCAAACGCAUGCCUCCUUGCUAACAUCAAUGAGCAAAAUUUGACAAGGUUGUCCCAUUCCAAAAUGUCAAAUGCAUGUUGUUUUGUGUACAUCAAUGAGCAAACUUUGACAAGGUUUUCCCAUUCCAAAAUAUCAAAUGCCUACGAUUGUGGAAUGGGCAGGGUUUUCCAUCAGUUCGGACAUUGACAUGGCACCUCGUGCUAAAUAAACCAGCUGUUCUUUUUGUGAAGUUCCACCAAAAUCAACCAAAUUCGUGCGUAGCUUGUAUGAUUUUGCCUUUAUAUGUUGCAACGCCUUGAACAUGUCGGCACCUCCUUUCUUGUGGUGGAAAUGAAUGAUUCGAGAAUAUUCGAUGUAUUCGUGAACAUUUUGUGCAGUUCCCAUUGAAAUCAAGCUGAGCACCCCUGUUUGCAUAAAUACAAAAAAAGUGAUUAGUAUAAAGCAAACUGUACUAUGAAUUGACAGUUUAAAUAGUCAACCUACAUGAUCCAUGCAGAGCACACAUUUAAAACAAUGGAACUCACCAGAAGGAAUCGUAAAACAACAUUGUACUGGCCAUCACAGCAACAAAGAUGGAGAUCCGUGAGUCCUUCUGAGCUGAAGUUAGUUUGUUCUUGUGGGCAAUAAUGUAACCAUCCUUCAACUGCUCCCUUCUUAAGAAGAGAGGCUUGGCUUCUUUAUCCUGGCAUAAUCGGAACUAGGCACUUCACGUACUCCAUAUUCUUCUUCAGAGGAGGAUGAUCCUGUUGUGCAAAGACAAGAGGACAACUAAAUGCUAGCAUCCCUGUUUGCGCGAACAAAAAGAAAGGAAAUAUUUAAAACAACAUAGAUGAAGCACUUCUCAAGGACAAUACCACUUUCUCAUGACAGUAUCUAAACAGUAGCACAACACCAAUAAAGAUGACAAAGCUCAAUCAUAUGGAUGAAAUCCGUGGGCGGGUACCAACCUCUGUCAGGAGGCUUAUUCUGUAGAGCAUACAUAUCAAGCACUUCUCCGGAACCAUCUGUUGUUAUCUACUGUGGUUGCCAUGCUUACUAUAUACUCCUCGAUUAGUUAAUGUCUCCAACAUCUUCUUGUGCAGUUCCACUAAAAUAUAUGGUAUCUUCAAAGAAGAUCCCUGUUUGCACAAGUAGAGAUAAUUACAUAUUACAUUAAGAGUGGCAUCAAAUCAGUGGCAAAACAAUUGCUCGUUCCAGCCAUAGCAAUAAAUUAAGAUGCAAAACUAUACCAUUACUUGUGUCAUUACAGUUCCAGUGCUCCAUUACAGCACCGGGAGUUGAUUUUUGUUUUUCUUCCGCUUAUUCUUCCCCUUCAUCACUUGGUUCAAUAACAGACAAGCUUCGCCUUCAAUGUAAGAUUUGGCAUGUCAAUUAGGGAGCACAAGUAUAGAACUAAAAAACGAUGUUAAUUUUCAGAUGAAAGUGGCAAAAUACAGGCCAACAGUUGUGAAAUAUCCUUAUCUUACCUCAAUGGGAUAUUACGGUGCACAUACAGAUUGGAAGUCUUGUCUCAAUUUGUGCAGUUCCCUAAAAUCAAGCAACAUUAGCGUACAAGUAGCACAACAUAUGAAAGCACACUGCAAAGUCAUGUGAAAGAAGGCUAGUACUGACCUCUCAUGACGCGGAAUUCAAACAACUCACAAGAAGAAGAUCUGAACCAAAUUUUCCAACACGGAUAGGAAGUAAGAUCUCCUCUUGUGCAGUUCCACUAAGAUCAAGCAAUCAAGCAACGUUGUCGGUGUGACAUUUUGGUUGAACUGCACAAAACACUCUUAAAACAAAAGUGUUUUGUGCAGUGCAACAAAAGGUCACAAUAGCAACGAGGUGAAGUAGAUAACCCUGUUUACAUAGAGGUGCAAAGGAAACAACUAGUGGUCAAUAACGGUGGAUGACACAGAAGCCAUCAAAAAGAAGCAUCGAACUUAUCUAAAUGGGAAAGAAAGCAAGACAGUAGCAUUUCUCAAAUGGUGGCAUUGAUUAAUAUUAACAGAGAGAUUAUAUUGACAAUAAAAUUCGUUAAACAUGUAAUUUGCUUUUAACUAUAGCAUUGCAUCAAUUUUCCAGCGGCAUUAUUAGAGGGUGUUUGUUUACAGUGACAUUUUUGUGUAGGGACUAAAAAAAGUCCGUGUCAGUUCCAUCUAAACCAAACAGGAGGGACUUUUAGGGACUAAAGAAAGAAGACCCCGAGGGAGAGUCUUUUUGGGACUUUUUCCAACAGUUGCCCCUGCCCCGCAUCGCAGCUUGUCUCUAUUAGUUCAUUACUAGGGGUAACAUGGUCUUUUAGCAUGUCAUUUAAUAACCUCUAGUCCAUGUUUAGUCCCUGGAACCAAGCAGGUAGGGACUAGGGAGUUUUUAACCAAACAUGGCCUUAGAUUAACAACAGCUAAAGAGUUGCACCGGACAGUGGACGCACCAGCACCAUGUGCAUCUACCGAUGUAUGAAGGGGUGAUGCAUAGUCUUUUGCAACAAAGAACAAAAACAACCAAGGAGCAUAUUUGUGUUGGUCCCAGUUUUGUUAUCUUUAGACACCUUUCCCUAUGUGAGUGCAGCAAAUCUAGUCCCGCUCAAACUCUAUAGCCUUGUCCCCCAAAACAAAAGAUCAGUUCGUUAUAGAUGUGCGUACUGCGUUUGUCAUUGUUUCCCCUUUUCGACCAACGUAGGUGCUGGAUAGCCAGUCUAUACUAGUACUUUCCCCCCUUCCUUUCCUCUUUGAACCACGUCCUAGAUUCAUGCUAUACAACUUUCCCCACUACUUUCCUGUUUGAUCCAACACCUAGAUUCGAGUGCAGAAGCGGAAAAAGCCCACAUGCAGCUAGAGCAAUGCAUGUGGAAUAAGUAAAUUAUACCUUAAGGUUCUUGGGGUGUGGUUCGGUGGGCGACCGGAGGCCGUUCGGCCCACACUAUGUACGGCGGCGAGGAAGAAGGGGUCGGAGGCCCUCCCGCGCCGCCGCUGGGUGAAAGAGAACAGCUGCGCCGGUAGUGGAUUCCCUCCCUCGCCGACGGCGACAGUGUUAAGCCUCCUUCCCUUCCCGGCGGACGGAUCCUGCCAGCUCUUUGACCAGCAGUGAGGGGAGAGAGGCCAAUGAAGUUUUGUUUAGAUCUGGAGAGGGUGAGAGAGUGUGAAGAGAGCAACUACAAGCGCUGAGGCUCCAUCGUGUAUAUAUAUACUGGAGAGAGAGUGUGAAGAGUGCAAACCCUAGAAUACAAGCGCCGAGGCUGCAGCGUAUACGUGAUGAGGUGAUUAUAUGGUCACUACGAGAUCGUAUAGCUCCGUAUCCAUCCAUUUUGACCAAUCAAAGAAUCCUCCUGGCACCGCCCUAGAUCACUUUCUCUCUCUGUCAUGCGGGGCCUACCUGUCAUUGGGUGGAAGAAAGAAGUCGAACAAAAACAAAAUUAUGCUCAAGUGUAGUUAUCGAACCCGAGACCUCAAGUUUGAUGAGCGAACAGGCUAACCAGCUACACCAACCCCACGUUAUGUUUAACGAGAGGAAAAUAACCUUUAAUACAUUCAUGCAUUCGUGUGACAAGCAUGCCAUGUUUUUUUGAGUGGGAGACAUUGGGAUUUAAAUCAUAAUUGCGUCAUGUGGCUUUGGUGGUAAGGUCUUUUGGGAUUUAAAGCAGUGUUGGUAGUACAGAAAUAAUGCAGCCUUAGUCACCUUACUUUUCUCCACGUAGUACGUUGGGUUCCACCAGUCAGAGGGUGAAACAAACAAACUAAUAAGAAAAAUUAAAAGCGCCAGCGGUGUAUCAUACCUCACACAUCUCGCUACUGCUUGUGAACACUGUCCAAUUGAUCCCUCUGUUCGCUCACGUACUAUUUUAAGUGAAUCCGUAUUAUAACAUGCACACAAUUUUGGGCACUUGUAUUCGACCUAAGUCAGUGUGCCACCGUAUCUCGUACUACUCCCUCCGUCUAGGUGUAAUAAGUCACGUUAGAAGGUGCAGCGGGACCAAGGUGCAAGCAGAUUUUUUUUCGAAACGAGGUGCAAGCAGAUUGGAGGAGAAGGAGAAACUUGACCAGUCCUUCCUCCAAUCAAAGCCCUGAUUUCUGUCUCUAAACGCAACAAUUAAUCACAACAACUACCAUGCAGGGCCACGUAUUAACUCGCAUGCAAGCCGAGUUUGAUUUCUUGACUGAUCAACGCGUAGUUGCGCUCCAUGCAUUGGGUUUUCGGGGGAGAGUAACAAUGCAGAGUAAGGCUGGUCAUACUGGUGAGUAACUUGGACUAGUAACAUGCAUAUGUUACUAGUCUAGGUUACUACUAGUACCUUCGUCCUGGUUUAUAGGUCCCCUUUGUAGUAUGUGCCAAAUUUUGACCAAAGAUUUAACUAACAAAAUGUUAAUGCAUGUCAACAAAAAAUAGAUCGUUGGAUUCGUAUUUGAACAUAGUUUUCAAUGAUAUAAUUUUUUGUGACAUGCAUGAAAAAAAAAUUUAGUUCAAUCUAUGGUCAAAAUUUGACACGAAAUACAAUGGGGACCAAUAAACCAGGACGGAGGUAGUACCGAAGUUUGCCGUCGGAAGCGAGCCGAUCUGGCUCUCAUGAGCUAGCAAGGUUUUUCUAGCCCACCCAAGCUAGCUGGCCCAAAAAAGCUAACAUAUUUUAACAGUUCCAAACGCCUAACCUUGCCCGGCUAGGCUUUAAACUGUUCUUGCUAAGGAUCCAAACGCUCCCUAGUAACUCGCACGAUAUUCCUAUUCUAUGAACCUGUGUGUGUGUGUGUGCGUGUGUGUUUAACAGCAUGUGUGUGUUAGAGAGAGCGACACAUCGACCUACUCCUACAGAGAGAUGGUGUGUAGUGUACGAUUUAGCCGCGAGAGUCGGUGCAUCCUCUUCCGGGCGUCCGGUCGGGACAGGCGGACCGCUGCCACGCCCGCUCUUGACCAGCCUGGCCCACCCAAAGCCCCUCCAUCCACUACUAGGAAAAGGCCUACUAGUGGCGCACCAGUUUUGCCUACUAAUGGCGCACUACUGGUGCGCCACUAGUACCACGCCACUAGUAUUUUUUUACUAAUGGCGCACCAGGCAGUGCGCCAUUAGUAUAGGCCAUGGUGCGCCAUUAGUAUGCCUCCCAGGGGGCCAUAUUUACCCAUGUGCUUUGCCAUACUAAUGGCGCACUGAGGGGUGAUGCGCCAUUAGUAUCCUUUGGCAUACUAAUGGCGCACGUUGGGGUGAUGCGCCAUUAGUAUGUAUAUUAGGGAUUUUUUUUCUUUUCUGAUAUUUGCACAGAUUACAAAAUAUAUUAUUGGACAGAAUAUAAACAGCACCACACAGCAACAGCAGAUUCAUUGAAUACAAUAGAAGAUUAGUCUCCGAAUACAAUUCAUCAUAUUAGUCUCCGAAUUCAAAAGACCGAACAAAGAUAGAACAUUACAAGUCUCGAGACCGCGAGUAGCGAGUUUGUCGAAAGUAAUACUAAUCCUAACAAGUCCUACUAACCAUCAUCAUACAACUUCUACUCGUUAUUAAUCCAGGCGGGUAUCCUCGGGCCUGCAUCCUUCAUACAAUGGAGUAACCGCGUCUAUCUCCAGUUGAUCCAGGCUUGGCUUUCUCUCGGGCGGCAGCUCUUGCGUUAUCUGUCUGCUUGAGAAGCAGCUCUUGAAUAUGAGGGUCCUGCACCCAGCCCAUCGAUGGUCCAUCGUCGUCUGCUCCGCCGGCAUCUUCAUCUUCAUGAUCAUGCCCUUCGUCUGCUCCGGCAUCUUCUACAUGAUGACUGUGUACAGCAUCACCGUCGUGAUCAUGUCCUGGAGAUUCUUCGUCUUCUCGCCCGCCCGAGCCGCGGUGGUUGUCUUGCUGCCCUUCCUCAUUUCUUGCCCGGCCCCCAUGGACGACUUCAUAGUCAUCUUCAUCACCUUGCCACCGAUAGCCAUCCAUGAAACCACGCAAGAGCAGGUCGUCCCGCACCUGCCCGGAAUCCGGGUCCGCAAUAAGGCUCUUCAGCUUGCAUCUUCGACACGGACAUCUUAUCUCCGUCUCGUUCUUUUCAAGCAUCUCGGCCUUCGCGGAGCUCAAAAACCUAUUCACGAUGCCUUCGGUCAUCGUGCGGACCAUGGUCGCCUGUGGGGUAGAGCAAAACGAUAUUUUAGAACCAAGAAAAAAUUUGGCAUGACUUUCCCUAAAAAUAGGACCAAAAAGAAUGCAUAGUGCCAAAAUUCUCACCAAAACGGAAAUGAAUCAACAUUCCGGCAAAAUAUUGGCAACUAUCGCAUUUCAAAUACCGGUACCUGCAAACACAAACAUAUAUGCAACACCACAAACAUACAUAGAUCUAGCUAGGCCAUAAAAAGUGCAUGUGCACGUUGUUGGAGGGAGAACAACAUAAAGAUAGCUUCCCCUUACUUACCUAUCAAAAAAAGGUAAUUUAACCACUUAAUUUGGAUGAAUUUAUGGUGCAAAUGAGGUGAGGAGGAGGAGGCAGCCGAGACAAGCUUGGAGGAGGAGGUGGAGAGAAUGAAGUGGGAAAAGUGAGUGGGUAGUGUGGCUGUCCAAAAUAUCUAGCUCGUCCCAGGUUACUAAUGGCGCACCACCAACAAAUGCGCCAUUAGUAACCCUGGUUACUAAUGGCGCACCUGCUGGUGGUGCGCCAUUAGAAGUUUUGCAAAAAAACACACUAAUGGCGCACCAGGGAACAGUGCGCCAUUACUAGUUUAAACUAGUAAUGGCGCACUGUUCCCUGGUGCGCCAUUAGUAGUUUUGCAAAAAAAUAAAAAUAAAAAAAAUAUAGUAGUGGCGCACUAUGAGGCUGGUGUGCCAUUACUAGUUAGAACUAGUAAUGGCGCACUAUGCCCUGGUGCGCCAUUAGUAUGUUUGGAAAAAAAAUUGUUACUAGUGGCGCACCAGCCCAUGGUGCGCCACUGCUAUAUAGUAGUGGCGCACCACAUGUCUGGUGCGCCAUUAGUGGCCAUUCCAUCUAUAUCCCUUUUCCUAGUAGUGAUCGCCCGCGCGCGCUUCCCGCCCGAAACGGGCAGCGCCGCUCCAAAGAAUCGGUGCCGCAUUCAUGCCCGGGAAGAGCGGACGUGACCUCUCACUGGCGCCUACAUUGAAGGGAGAAGCGGAUUCAAGAGUGAUGGUUGCUUUGUCCGGCCAACUUACUGCUGGGUCUAUGUGAUUUGACGGCUCAUUGGUCAUUAUUACUGAGGUGGUAGGACUGCUGGAUGUCCAACGCUUUCGGCGAAAGGAGGUACUACUAGAUUACAAUUUUCUCCAUUCUCAAUGGAGGAGUGCGAGAGCAGUGAAAACACACAGGCUCAGUGAUUACAUGGCCCACCUCACACUAUCACCAUAUUUUCUGGACACCGUGCGACACCUAACUCUUUACGUACUACUAGUAUAGUACAUACUAUAAUUUAUCAACGAGAUAAAUUUGUACAACGCUAUGAAGCUUCCAGCUUCUAUUUCAUGUAUCUUGCGUCCAAGGUUGCCCGUUGCAACAUUUCAUCAAAUACAAAGGAGACUAACAUGCAUGCUAUUGCAUCUCAAUGAUUGACAGAUCAUAGCCAAUAUGUACUCCCUCCGUUCCAAAAUAAGUGUCUCAACUUUAUGCAAACUUUAGUACAAAGUUGUACUACUACUAAAGUUGACACUUAUUUUGGAACAGAGACAGCUAAAGAAAAAAAGAUCCAUGCAGUCCCUAGCCCUUGAACCGUAAACCCUAACUAGGCUUUAAUUUGCUGGCAACGUUGGAGCUUCCGAAGAAAUGAAGUUUGCAACCCUUUGACCAUCGGAUCAUUUUGUGCAGUUUCACCAAAAUCGAGAUGAGCAUCCCUGUGGCAAAGAAAUUGAAGAAGCGUGAUUAUAAUAAGAUUACUGGUACUAGUUGAUGAGACAUAAACUCAUCACAAAUACAGUACGUAGAAGCCAGUAGAGGUAUGUGCGGGGCAAAGAAGUAGAGAAAUAUCCACAUGGAGUGAUGUGGGCAGCUGGAGCAGUGGUGCAAGCCGGCUGUAAAGGGAAUUGUACCUGAGGGAUAUCGGGACGUAGCUCAAUCUAGAGGAGGACGACGGGAGGAGGCAACUGCCCACGUCGCGGCAGUGAGCAAUGGACGAAGCCAACCUCACCGACUUUGUGAGAGAGAACGGCGGGGACCCCUGAUCGGGACGUGCUGCCAGUGGGUUUUCGCCGUCGGUGACGGUGACCGCAUCUACACUAAAAGCAUCAACCCCUUCCUCCGGCGGACAUGAUCCGCCGGGAUGUUAGAGAUGUGGCCACACUCGUUUUGUGCGAGAGAGUGUGAAGACUGAAGAGAGCAACCCCAGCAAGCAACCGUGUAGGCUCGUCCUGCCUAUGUAUAUAGUGGAGCGGUUUCCUUUUCUCUCCAUAUGAACCUAUUUAUACUGCGUACGUGCCACUGAAGAAAAAAAAAUUAUUUAUAAAUGAUGCGGCACCUACUACUCGUUCUCCUAUAAACCUUGCGCUUGGCAUCUCCAAAAUAUUAACCUUGCGAUUGGCUCUUGGCCUCUUCGGAAAGUCGAGCAAUAAUGGUACUGCAGUAUAUAUCAUUCUGGCUAUAUGAGACCAAAUGAAUUGCUGCACGCCACCACGUGGUCGAGGGUCGAGGGCGAGGGAGAGUGCGUACUAUUACGUCUGUUUCAAUAUGGACUACAUACGGAGCAAAAUGAGUGAAUCUACACUCUAAAAUACGUCUAUAUACAUCAGUGUUUGGAGUACGUACUAGUAGUUCAUAUUGAAAUCUACUAAACGACAUAUAUUCUAAACAAUAUGAUAAUCUCUCUAACCAAGGUAGGGACGAGGAGUAAAUGGAGGGAGUAGUAAAAUUUUCUCCUCGUCCUGCGAGCCACCGCGCGCGUCGGCGAGGGAGUGGGCGUAAGGUGUACUAGUAAGCAAGCUUCACCUCAUCCUGCGAGCCACCAUGCCUGUGGGGGGGAGACGGCGUACUAAGCAAGCUUCUCCUUGUUCUGCGAGUUGACGGGACACAUCAAAAGUACUCCACUGUAUAGAGCCUUGCCUCUAAGGUAGGCCCCACAUGGUUUGCCUCUUUUUUAACAUAACGCGUCAAGUCGCAAUUUGUUUGUUCACCCUUGGUAGACGAUCCUCCAUCAAGUGGACAACCAGUACACAUGUCAAAUUACCACGUGGGCUGCCUUUUCAUACAGAAAUGAGCUCCACCAUGUACCCGCGCGGGUGUGGUUGGGCAAGAGACGGGAGUACGUGCGCCGUGCGUGCACCUCUUCUCUUCGUGCAUGUCCCCCACCUACGUGGGUGUGUGCGAGAGAGAUACAAACCUAGACAGAUGGCGUGUGCGUUCAUGAGUGUUUUUUGUUUUGGGGGAGGGGGGUGGUGAUUUCGUGAAUGUAUUUGUGGGAAUAUGUGUCGAUGACAUCUCAAACAGAAUUUUGCAUGCAAUGUGUGUGAAAUAGAGGCAUAUCCAUAUCAUAUAGAGAGGGCCAGAGGGGGCGAUCCACGAGAAGAGAGGGAGGGGUCAUAGAUAUCGAUAGAGUCGAAGAGAGGAUCAAGUGGGUGGGUGCGAGAUGGAUGAAGAGAGCCAUCGAAAUUGUGUGUGUGCAAGUCAAAGAUAUAGGGCGACUGACCUCUACCAGAACGUCAGAGGGCACAAGGCAAGUUUGUGUGUGGCAGGGAGACAUGACUAUAGCGCUCGAUGUAUCAGUGUGUGGGGGGGUGGGGGGAGGGGGGAGGCAGAGGCCUAACUAGAGAGGUAGAACGACUCGUAUAUGUGUUGAGAAGGAGAGACCCAGCUAUGUCUUGUGGGAGAUGGGUCGACAUCCAUACAUAACUGAAGGACGGGAAAUAGGUUGGGACAGAGAGAGAGAGAGGAGAGAGAGGGAGGGAGAGGGGUAGAGUGCUGGAUGGGUGAUGGAGUUGCUUCUCGAAGAUGGUGGGAGAGGCCUACUAGACAAACUGAGGGUAGAACUGCAAUAUUAUCAAUAAGAGUGGGGAUGUGUUUCUAUGUGUGCCUAUGCGUGAUAGAUCUGUUGGGACGCAUGCAUGGAUGAUGAAGGGGAACCAUGUGUUUGCUAAGCAAACCUAACUAGAUCGGUAGAUCAAUUGUUGUUUGUCGGAGGAAGGGAGAGACAUAACUAAUGAGGUAGAUCGAUCGACGCGUGGGAAAAAACGAGUUAUAAGGACAUAGCUGGCUAUAUGUAUAGCGGGAGAUUGGUCAGUGUACAUCCAUUUGUUAGAGGCAAAUAAGGCCCAGCGAGACGGAUAGACAGAGAGAAUGGAGCUAGGAGGUGGUGCGAGAGGCCGAGCUACUAGCUAGAUAGGGGGAGGAGUGUGCGGUUGUGAGAUCGAUGAAAAGAGGGGACAGAGUUUAAACGUCUGUGGGACCGUAUGAGAGACACGAGGCAUGGACACAGAAAGGUGGAGAUGGAAGGUGCGUGUGUACGUAUGUUGUAGGCAGACGCUGGAGAGGUUUAUCGAUCGGUGUGUGUCGGAAAGGAGUUGUGGAGACUGUGGGAGAACGACCUAAAGAAAAAAAAA